CAGAACAGAUGGGCCUUCUUACAUCGGAUACAAAAAGGAUUUGAUCUUUGUUCACGUGUACAUUGAGGUAAACCCUGGAAUCAAAGCUAAUCUAGGCUUUAUAAUCGUGUCAUGGUCUUUUGUUGCCAAUAUUGAGGGGAGCCAAAAACCUUGUUUAGCCUUUCUCCAUGGUUUUAAAGCUAAUCUAGGCUUUAUAAUCGUGUCAUGGUCUUCUUAUAUGCCAAUAUUGAGGGGAGCCAAAAACCUUGUUUAGCCUUUCUCCAUGGUUUUGUUUUGCACAUACGGGUGGGGACCUAGUUUCCAUUUUUACCUAAAAUUUUCCCCGCCUGUGUUGGUGCAAAGUCUCAACUGAACUCAAAGGGGCUUUUCAGCUGUGCUAUGUGUAAUCCUUAGGACAGGUUGAUGCUGUGCUUCAGGUAGAUGCAGCCUUGUUUAUUAUUAUUUAAUUAGAAUUGUUGUUUGUUCUUCUUGUAGUCCUUACAUUUUGGUUUAAUUUCUCAUCUGUAAAUACUUCUUUUUUUUUCAAUGAUUAUGUGAAAACCCUUUUGAAUAAUCUAUGCAUUUGAAAUUUUAACUGGUAGGAAUGUAACAGCGUUGGUUGAGGAGGUGGGGGUCUUAAUUUGAAGAACAGUAGAGUUGUUGAGAUCCUGGACCGCACAUUUCAGGCAAAAUAUAAGCCCUUACACAAAGUAUAAGCCCCUACACAAAAUAUAAGCCUUCCAAUUGUAGUCAUUGCAUUGGUGGUGCAUUUGUCUACAAGUAACCCAACUUCCUAACUUCAAUUUCUUAUUCUUAAUUUCUCCUAUCCUUAAAUUCAUUUAAUUAAAUCCCAAUAAUCAUCUCAAAUUUUGGUAAAUGAAAUUGAAAUUAAGUUCACAAUAUUCAUAAUAUCAAUAUCAUUGUCUUCAACCCAAAUAUAAAACCAAGCAUGACCAAAAUCAAAUGUCGAAAGUUAUAAACAUAAACCUAAACAUACACACCAACAACAAAGUAUACAAUUAGCACCAAUUGACAGAAACAUAGAUUGGAAGACUCAACAAAUACAAACCUCCCGCCAGGCAAAUUAAUCUCUAACAUUGAAUACAAGCAAACUCUAUUCAACUCUAGAACUAUUAUUCACAUCACUGAAAAUAUAUGGAUGAUGUGUGUGUAUAUUAAAUAUACAAAUAAAAUAAAGUAAAGAAUUGAAACUCAAAUAAAAUUGAUCAAAGCUAGAAUUUGACUUAUUAAGACGAAUUUGUCCCGCUCAAGUGUUUAUGGUUUAUUAACAAUCGUCUCCCAGAAUACAACAAUCACUUUCUUGUGAUAGUAACACUCCAAAUUACAAAAAACAACGAAUCAUUUGGUGAUUUGUACUUCCUUGAAUACCAAAUAUUUGGUAGAAAAAACAAAUGGCUAGAUUUAAAGCUAAAGGAGGACUUGAAUAUUUCAAAUGACAAGAAAGGAGAAAGAGUUGAGAGAAUGGAUGAAUGAAAAAAUGAAUGAAUGAGAAAUGCCACGGGGGGUUCUUAUUUAUAGAUUUGUUGAUGACUUAUUAGAAGAGAUGUGUCUUUAAAAUAUCAUACGCAUCCUUUGAAAUAAGUAGUAUCUAUUAGAAAAAGAUGUGUCAUAAUUUCCAUUUACUUAUACUAGACACAUCAUUUGAAAUAAGUAGUAUCCAUUAGGAAAAGUUGCAACCUAAUGUCCAUUCACCUAUAUAAAUAUUCAAACAAGAAGAACCUCAAUUUCCCCUUAAAAAAAAAAAAAGAAGACCCAUUGAAAUAGAGUGUUCUAGAGUUAUAUUUGCUAAGCCAUUGAUGUCAAUCCAUCUUCCAAAUCCUAUAAUCUACCCCAUUGAGCCAGCCAGCCCUAAGUGGAAUUACACUUACUUGCCUUUUUGGAGAAGCAUGCAACUUCUAAGACGUACUCUAGUAAGUAGUUUUCUCCCUCUCACUUAGCAAUAUUUAGAUUAAUCUUUCAUUCUAGUCACCAUAUCAAGAUCUUUAAAUCAUUUCAUGUACUUGAUGACUAGCUAGGUAAGUCAAAACUAAGCAAUUGGACUCCUUGAGCUCUGUUCUAACUUGGAAAACAAUAAAGUAUCUUGAUGAUAUUUCAUAGAGGUCGUGGAUAUAGCUAUUUUUGAUAGCUUCUUGAUGUAGGGAGAAGACCUUUGAAACCAAUUAGUGAAUGCUUUCAUCGUGAGUUGGGAUGUAGGUGAUACUGUUCAUUCAAAUCAUACAAUUAAGCCCAUGAUUUUUAAACAUAUUAAUACUCAUGCAUUCCACGUUAUUUCUUUAUUACAGUUAAUGUUAAACAUGUAACGUGAGGUACUAAUCUCAUCUAUAACUCAAAGAAGGGCGGUAUAUCCUUGUUUAUAGGUACAUCUUAUAGGCAUCAAUAGUACUUUCUCUAUAUAUUAAUGGUACUGUCUUAAAUAAAAGUGGUACCUCAUUUUUUAGUGUUAGAUGUAUGAUGUUUAAAUGAAAUAAUACUCGAAUAUUUCAUGUCAUUUAUUUGUUAAGGUCGAUGUUGAGCAUGCAACGAGCGGAACUAACUCCCAACCUUUACAUGUGGUACCGUAAGUUAUAUGACUAAAAUAUUUUUAUUUAAUCUAUUUAUGAUAAGGUUUAUAAAAUAAAUAAAUAUUUUAUUUAGAAUAGAUAUAAAAAAUAUCUUUAACUUCUAUUUUUUUUUAAUGUAUUUAUGUUUAUAUUAAAUUUGUUCUCGUUAAUUAUUUAUUAUAUAUUAUUAUUUUAUGUUUAAAAUAUCUAUGAAUAUGAAAAGAUGAAAGAAUGAAAAAAAUGAAAUUAAAAGGAUUUCAUGAUAAAAGAUGUAGCUAAUAUAUUAAAAAAAAAAAAGGGUCAAAGGUAGUGUGACUUGAGGUCAUGUGAUGGAGGAAAAAACAAAAGAAAAAGGAAAAAUGAGGCAUGGUUAGUUUUAAGAAAAAAAUGGUUGACAGAUAUGAUCAGCUCUGUUGAGUUGUUAUGUCAAAAUUUAAAAAUAAAAUAAAAAUUGCUAUAGUUAAUCGACCAUAGGAAGGUUGGUUGAAGUGUAAACUUAGAAUUAUGAUAAUGUUAUUAUUAGAAUACAUGUGAGUCAAAUUAUUUUUCAGAAUUUAUGUGUUUUGAAAGUCAAAGUCAAAGAUUUUACCAAUUUUAUUUUUUAAAUAGUGUAUGGUUACAUGAUUUUCUUUUUCCUUUUUUAACAGCAAUAUUUGAUUUAAAAACAAAAUAAAAAAAACCCUUAUUCAUUUCCAAGUCUUAUUAAGCUUCAAAAAUAAUUUUAAUUUAUUUAUAUGAAAUUAUUUUAAUAUAAUUUUCAGAAAAAAAGAAUAUUUUUUUAUAAAUUUAUUUACAACAGUAUUUCACUUUAAUUUUUAUUUAAAUGCAAGUUAUUUAGAAAAAUAAAUAUUUUUAUAACUUUACCUAUCAGAAAUAUUUCAAUUAAAUAAAGAAGACUGUUUCCAAUUUUAUUUAAAAAUAAAAAAAUUAAUAUAAUUUUAUUAAUACAAAAGGAAAGACUAUUAAUAGAAAAAUGAAUUUUUAAAAAAUUAUUAAAAAAAUGUUUCAAUGCCUUUUUUUUAUUUACCAAAAAGAUCUAUUAUUUAAUUUUGUUUUAUUUUAAAAUAUAUAUAUUGAAAAUAAAGGUUUUAUUGGAAAAUUUUAUAAUGUUAUUAAAGCUUAAGAAAACUUAUCUUUGAUUCUAUAAAAAAGAGAUUUCAAAUUUAUUACUUGUAUAAAAUAAUAAAUAAAAUAAAAUAAAGAGUUCAACUAAUUUUUCAUAUUUUAUUUACAAAAUAGCAUUCUAAUUUGAUUUUUGAUUUUUUUUCUUUUUUUUUUAAAUAAAAAAAAUGGGAACUUUAAAAUUUUGCAUUUUGUUUAAGUAAAGAAAUUUAUAUUUUCACAAUUGAAUGUAAAAAGAACCCCAUUCAAUUUUAUUUAUCUACAAAUUUAUUUAAAAUUUUAUAACUUUAAAUAAGGAAUCUUUACUUGCUUGGGAAGAAAAUUGUCUUUUAUUAAAAAAGAUUUUUAUUUUUAUUUUUAUGAAUUUAUGUAAAAAAAUGCAUUUUAUUAAAAAAAAAAAAAGUUUUUUUGCGAGAAUAGUCCUAUUCAAAUUUAUUUACCAAAAAGGGAAUUUUUUUUUUUUUUUUUUAUUUUCAACUUUAUUAAGAAUAAAAUAAUAAUAAUAAUAAUAAUAAUAAUAAUAAUAAUUAAGAAAGAAAGAAUUUUUGUCUUUUUGAAGAGAAGUUCCACAAGCUUAUACAAAAUCAGACUUCUAUCUGUUUAUUUUUUUUUUAAUUUAUUUUAUUUAAAAAAAGACUUUCAAAUUUUAUUUACUAAAAGCUUUGCAACUUAUUAUUAUUUUCUUUUGUUUAGGUCAUUUUUAAUUUAAUAUAAAAGGAAUAUGUCAAAUUUAUUAUUAAAAAAAAAAAGGAAAACUCAAAUUUAUUAAAAACAUGAUUUUCGGAUUUUAAUAAUUUUUUUUAAUAUCUAAAAUGUUUUUUAAUAUUAAAACAGAGUUUUAAUUAAAAAAAUUAGUUUUAUAGAAUUGAGUUUAUCUAUUAAAAAUAAAAUAAAAUAAAGUUAUCUUCAUGACUCCAAAUUCAUAUUUAUUUAUUUUUGAGACAAAAAAACAAUUUAUUUAAAAAAAAUUGUAUAAAAAAGGGAUCUUGGUUUAUUAGAAAUAUGAAUUUUGAUUUACUUAAAAAAAAAAAUCAUUAUUAUUAAAAUAAACAAAUAAAUAAAUAGAUAAAUUUAAAAUUUUAAAAAAAAGGUUCAAUGAAAUAUUCUACAAACAAAAAAAAAACAUUAUUAUUUGUUUAUCAUUGGAUUUACACAAUAAUCCGAGAAUUAAGAACAACACAAAAUAAACGAAUAAAUAAAUAAACAAAUAAAUAAAAAGGGAUUUUGGUUUAUUAGAAAUAUGAAUUUUGGUUUACUUAAAAAAAGGCUAUUAUCAUCAUCAUCAUUAUUGAAAUAUUAUUAUUAUUAAAAUAAAUAAAAAAAUAAAUAGAUAAAUUUAAAAUUAAAAAAAAGGUUCAUUGAAAUAUUCUACAAACAAAAAAGCAUUAUUAUUUGUUUAUCAUUAGAUUUACACAAUAAUCCGAGAAUUAGGAACAACACAAAAUGAACGAAUAAAUAAAUAAAUGAAUAAAUAGAUAAGCAAAUUACUCAAAUGCAAAAAUGGCAUGUAGAAUAAAUCCAAUAUAUACAAAAAUAAAUAUAAGAUAAAAUAAAAAUAAAGAGGAGGACAGGGAUAGUUGGUAUACCCUUUACAAUGCAAUCCCAAAUCUAGUGACCCUCCAUAGCUUUCCCAACAAAGCUUAGAAAUACCUACAAACAUCUCAAACCUCUCACAGAAAAAAAAAAAACAAAGAAAAUACAGAGAGUUUUUCCAGAAAAAUCUAGAGAGAGCCAUCUUCCUUUUUCAAGUUGCAAGAUGGUCUUUUUAUCACCAAAUCAGGUUCACCAACUUUCUGCCCAUGCCCCUACCCAUGCCCAUGCCUUGCCUCCAACUACUCUGCUCCAACUAAUACACUGUGCACCAUGUGCCUUUUCUCGCUCUCGUAAAAAAUCAACCCAUGCAAAAUAAAAUAAAAUAAAAUAACAAAUGAACAGAAGAAGAUGACAAUAAACACAACCUAAAACUAGGCAAUAAUAACCUUAAAGCAAUAAUGUAGGCCCAAAGCAAAUCUAACUAAACCUAAGUAAAUUAUAAAUCCAUGAUGGGCCCAAACUUAUAUCAGAUUAACUAAAAUAUUGUAAUAGCAAACCCAAUACAAUUGCCUGAAGCCCAUCAACUAAUGUGAACAAAACCCACAAACACCCCAAACACAAAAACUGGUCACUGUGCAAAUCAACAUAAGGGUUUUACCUCAUGUUCUUGAAAUCACGUGAAGAAGGGUGGUGUAGUGAGAAAAUAUCCAUGGUAAUAGUAGUUGCUAUUGGAUAGAUAUGGAAAGGUGGUGGCCAUGGAAAGUGAAAUUGCUGUUGUUGGAGAUGGAAAGGCAUGUGGUAUUAGUGCAUGUGGAAAAGAGUGGUGGAGAGAGAAAAUGAUGAGAAAGAAAGGGAGAAAGGGAGAAAAUAAAGAUAAGAAAGAAGGAUGGUUGGUUGGAUGGAGGUGGUGUGUUGUUGCCAACAGUGGCACCGACAUCAUAUUGUCGACAACAACAUUGACAUCACAUCGCCGAUAGUGGCAGUGGUGACUGUCGCUGAUGGAAUGUGGUGCAUGCAUGGGUGAGAGAGAAAUGGGUAUGAAAAGAAAGGGAAAGUGAGAGAGAAAGAAAAGAAGAAUAGAUGAGAUGAGAAAUGGAAAGAAGGGUGUAUGGAAGGGAUACUGAAAUGGAGAUAAUAAAAAAGAAAAUGAAAAAAGAAAAGAAGAAUAGAUGAGAUGAGAACUAAAGACAAGGGUGUAUGGAAGAAUACUGAAAUGGAGAUAAUAAGAAAGAAAAUGAAAAAAGAAAAAUGGAAAUAGAAGAAACUGAGAAGAAAAGAAUAAGAAAAAAUAAGAAAUACGAUGGACGACUGAGUGAAAGAAUGUGUGGUCUUUAGGGUUUUCAGUAGAUGAACGGUGGAGAUUGAAGCAAAAAGGAAGGCCAAGAUUUAAUUCUCUAAUAAAAAUUGGAUUAAAAAUCUAAAGGAAUUUGCCUAAUAUACAUUAACCAAAAUUCCUAAAAUAAAUAAAGUAAAAAAAGUGAAAAAACUAAAUAAAUAAAAACAAAAUAAUAAAUAAAUAAAUAAAAUAAAAUAAAAUGAAAAGAGUUCAUGACAAAUUUUGGGGUCUACAAAUAUGCCCCUUUUCGAUAGAGUCCAUAAGUAAAGUAAGUGUAUACAUAGGCGAAACGAAGUAGACUCUACUGAAGAACAAGAAAGACCACCAAAUUUGCCCCAAUAUGACACGAGCUCCCCGAAUCAAAACAAAACAAAAAAGGCUUUAAAACUCUAUAAAAAGGGUAAGAAUGGAAACUCUUUAAGGUGUCUCUAAAGUUACACUAUGGAUUAAGACUCCCUUUGAAAAGUCUCCAAAAGUGACUCAAAAAUCAAUAUUGAAGUCGAGUAGUAGCCGAAUCACCAAAGAGCACAAGAAUGAGCACAAAGAGAAAAACCAUACGAGGACACAAGACAUAGGGUAUCUAACAAUACAAUCAAGAAACAUGCUACGAGCUCAAAGAGCUAUAUCACACAUAAUGGAUGAGGACAAACUCUGGAAAACUACGACUUUGAGAACCUGAAAUGUGGCUUUGAAUGCCAAAACUAAGAUGAACGAUUUUGAACAACUAAACUAUGGCUCUAAAUGCCUAAUUGUGAGCAAUGGCUUUGAACGCCAAACUAAGAAAUGAAUUUGAACACCUAAGUGAGGAGUGUGGCUAUGAACACCUACGAGAGAAAUGGCUCUGAACGCUUAUGAAGGAAAUGACUCUGAAUGCCUAUGAAAAUUGUGGCUUUGAACGCUUAAACUAAAAGAGGUGGCUAUGAAUGCCUAAACUAAAAGAGGUGGCUCUGAAUGCCUAAAAUUACAGUUCUGAAUGCCUAAACCAAAAGCAAGUGGCUUUGAACACCUGAAAUGAAAGAGGUGGCUCUGAACGCCUGAAAUGAAAAAGAUGGCUUUGAACGCCUAAGCUGAAAGAGUGUAGCUCUGAAUGCCUAAACUGAAAUAGAGUGGCUCUAGACACCUAAAAUUGUGGCUUUGAACGCCUAAGUUGGAGAAGUGGCUUUGAAUGCCUAAACUAAAAUAAGAUGGCUUUGAACACCUAAAACUGUGGCUUUGAACGCCUAAAACUAUGAAGAAAUGAUGGCUCUGAACGCCUCAACUAGAGAAGUGGCUAUGAACACCUAAAUUGGAAGAAGAUGACUCUGAAUACCUAUCUAAAGAAGGUGGCUCUAAACGCCUAAAUGAGGAAAAUGGCUCUGAACGACUAUGAAAGUGAUGACUUUGAACGCCUCUGGGAGGAAUGGCUCUGAACGCCUAUGAAAGUGGUGGUGACUUUGAAUGCCAAAUUGAAAAAGGUGGCUCUGAACGCUUAAUUUGAGGAAGUGGCUCUGAAUGCCUAAUAUGAUGAAGUGGCCCUAAAUGCUUAAACUAAAGAAGGUGGCUCUGAACGCCUAAUUGAGGAAGGUGGAAUUGAGCAAAAUGGCUCAAAACGCUUACUGGCUUUGAAUGCUUAAAUUAAGCAAGAUGGCUCUGAACGCCUAAGUUGAGGAAGGUGGCUUUGAACACCUAAGCCGAGGAAGGUGGCUCUGAACGCCUAAACUGAGCAAGGUGGAUUUGGAUGCCUAAACUAUGGAAGAUGGCUCUAAAUGCCUAACUGAGCAAGGUGGCAUUGAACGUCUGACUAAUGAAGGUGGCUUUGAAUGCCUAAACUGAAGAAGGUGACUCUGAAUGCCUAAAUUGAAAGAAAUGACUCUGAACGCCUAAACUGAAAGAAAUGACUCUGAAUGCCUAAAUUGGAAGAGAUGACUUUGAAUGCCUAAAAUUACAACUUAGAAUGCCUAUGAGAGAAAGUGGUGGCUCUAAAUGGAUAAAAUGAAAGAAAUGACUCUGAAUGCCUAAAACUAUGGGUUUAAACACCCAAAACUAUGGCUCUAAAUGGCUAAACCAAAAGAGAUAUGGCUCUGAAAGCCUAAAAUUAUGGCUAUGAACGACUAAACAGAAAGAAAUGACAUUGAACACCUAAAUUGGAAGAAAUGACUCUGAACACCUAAUUGAAAGAAAUGACUCUAAACGGAUAAAUUGGAAAAAAUGGCUUUGAAAGCCUAAAAUUGUGGCUUUGAACGCCUAAAAUUGGAAGAUAUGGCUUUGAAUGCCUAAAAUUGUGGCUCUAAAUGCCUAAAUUAGAAGAGAUGGCUCUAAAUGCCUAAAACUGUGGCUUUGAAUGCCUAUGAGAGAAAGUGGUGGCUCUGAACACCUAAACUGAAAGAGGUGGCUCUGAAUGCCUAAAAUUAUGGCUCUAAACGCCUAAUUGUGAGGAAAUGAUGAGAGAAAAUAUGCCUCAGUGUAGUGUGUCAUCACAACUCUCAAUCCAAUGAAAGAGUCUAAAAGAGACUCUAUGAGUCUCAAAAGAUGCUCCGCUAGCAAGUUGGAAUGGUCAAAUCGACUAUAAAUAUAGUCUCACAACCCAUCUAACCAAAUCACGAGGCUUGACUAAGUGUCAUAAUAAUCUGGAUGCCUUUAACUCAAAAUACUUUACUGGAGGAAUCCAUCGUCAUCUAAAAUGAACAAUCCAUUGAGGAGUCUCAAGAAAAAUAGUCUACUAGGGCAACUGCCACUGCCUCAACAUAACGAUCUACUAAGAAGUCAUAAAUAGUGGGAUAGUCAAAACCCAAAGGUCAUGCUCCUUUGAAGGCUCAUCUUGGCAAGAUCAUCGAAACUGUGACCAGUAAUGUGAAUAAAUAUCCAUCAACCAAAUAAAGAAGACUGUAACAGCUUCGUGAGAAGACAAUCAUCUCUACAACAAAAGAGAGGAAAAUAUGCCUUAGUAUAGCAACUGAUGCAUCCUAUCAUGCAGGUAACCCAAUUGCUUAAGCCAAUCAACUCUAUACCCAGAAGUCAAACUACCCACAACUUAAAAAGUAUAAGCAUAUUGGUCGGCCCUGGUGACUCCCUGGUGACUCAACAAUGAUCCACUAAGGUAACCAAUAAGAUAAAGUUCGUCAUCAACAUAAAUGCUCCACUAGGGACGACGCAAGUAAGUGAGUCUGUUAAUGGCUCGAAAUGAUCAGAUAGGGAAUGAAAGAGGAGUCUGUCAUUAACUCAAGGAUACUCCACUGAGGGUGAUGAGAGUGAGUUUGUCAUCAGUUAAAAAAUAUUCCGCUAGGGAUGAUGAACAUAAGCAUGUCGGUGGCUGACUCAAGAAUACUCUAAUAAGGAUGUUUAGGAGGUUUGACAUAUGCUUUGCUGAAACAAUGGUAUGAGAAUCUACGCGCCUUGAGAUAACUCCAUUGAAUAAUUGUGUCAAUAUCGAAAAAUGGGAGCAUGACUGAAUGACAUAAGGAGGCUCCACUAAGGAAUCAUGAUAAAAUAACAAUGGACCAUCAGUUUGACAUGCAUCUUGUAAGUGAUGAGGAUCAUGUGAAUCCAUGAAGAUCUAUAAAUCUCAACCAAAAAGGAAAUAUGCCCUAGUAUAACAUCAGAUGUACGGUAGAUAGGAAAAUCAAACAACAUUGAAUCAUCCACAUUAAAUGUGUAAUCCCAAUCCUCCAUAUCCACAAUUGAAUUAGAUCCAAACAUCAAAAGGGUGUCCCCCAGAAGGAAAAACAUGAUGACAUCUAAAUAUCGACCAAAUCUCAAACAUCUAUCCAAGUAGAGGCUAUCGAAGAUGACAUCUGAUACCAUGGCCUCAGGGUGGUCUUAAGACACGGGACGAAAUGUAGGUUAGGGUAAUAAGGUGAAGAUAUGAAGGAAAACUAGACUCAAAUACCCAAUGAUCAAAACCCAUACCCUCAUGUAUAAAAUGCAACAUGUGUAGAAAAUCUCAUGAGCUGUGGACCUAAGGGUGCCCAAUGUGAAUAUAAUAUCAAUAAUGAGACAAUGAAGCAAAUUGAAUUGAUAAAGAGAUGUAUAAGGAUGAUGCAAAGAAAAAAUCAAACCCAGAAUAAGUCAUUGUAGGGAAAGAACAAGGGGUGAAACGAAGAAGAUGAAUCGAGAACAAUAGCGAGGAUGAUGACGAAAUGAUGAACACAUAAAGAGGAAUGAUGAUAAACUCAAAUCAGAAUACGGAGUAAAAGUCACAUCAACAAUCAAUAUAAUGAUGGAAAGGACAAUGACCUAGAACCCUUAAGAGAAGGUCGCUCAUUUCUCACUUUGAAAACAAAUAUGAUAAAAUGAAUACAAAAAAGAGAGGAUCUCAGAAAACUCACAUACGAGCUCUCACCAACAAACAUACUUGAUAAAGUGACCCUCAGAUAUCAAUAUACAUGCUUAAUGAUGAAGAAUACUAUGCACAUACACACAUGUGCUUAUUUUUAUCUUUUUUUUUGUAUGUUUUUUUUUUUAACAUAUAUACAAAUACGCUUACCUUGAACAUAAACAAAUGAGCCUUGAAGAUGAGAUCAAAAAAUGGAUAGACAUACUCUCAAGUGCUAGUGUAACAUAAAAUUUCUCUGACGAGAUGACCUUCUCAACCUAAGGCUCUCCAGAUCAAUGUUCGUGGGAUAGAUAAUGGAAAAAAUGUGACUAUCCUCCAUGUAAUGAAUUGAGGAUGAACAUUAAUCAGGGUGGAGAAAAGAUGAAGCAGAACAAGUAGCAAAUAAGACCAAGAGUAGGAUGAAGAACAUGAACAAUGAGAUGUGAAGAAGUGUGGUAAUGUGAUGAUAGAAAAAUAAUGAGAAAGAUGUGCCCAUAGGCCUAGGGAUCAUGAAACUCCUAAACAAAGCAUGCAUACAUUGAAGGGCCCCUAUCCCAGUGUAGAAAUGUAAGUAGGCAAUAAGAAAUAAAGACUAUGAUGCACAUGCGAGGCUCAAUGGGCUAGCAACGGUUUAUAUGUCAAAAAAGGGAUAACAAGGUAUAUGGCUAAUCGAAAUGAUGACCACUUAUCCAAUGACCAUAGUCUCAAACAUAAUACUUCUUUAGUUGAUCUAUAUUGGUUGGCUCUGAAAAUUGGUUUCCAUCUAAAUCCAUUAGCCAUGUGGUGCUCUCUAGGAUCACAUCUCUAAUGAAAUAAGGUCCGCUGCAACUAGGUCUAAGUUUUCCCCUUAGAUCUCUGAUUAAUCCUUUGAUGAUCCUCAAGACCUCUCUGUAAUGGUCUAGGCUUGACCCGCUUCUUGAAAACAUAGGCCAUCUUUCUCUGAUAGGCAUGAACAUGGUUUACUAUCCUCAAUCUCCUCUCAUCUAAGAGAUUAUGCUGGUUUAAUCGAGCCUGAGCUCAAUCUACUUUUGAAAUCUGUUGCUCCAAUGCUACCCUCAAUGAACCCAUCUCUAUUUCAACUGGUAGGAUUGCCUCCAUACCAUACACCAAGGAAUAGGGUGUGGCUCCUAUAGAGGUGCGAAAAGAAGUCCGAUAAGCCCACAAUGCAAAAAGGAGCUUCUUUGACCAAUCCCGAGAAGUCUCAACUAUCCUCCGUAAAAUCCUCUUAAUAUUCUUAUUCAUAGCCUCUAUUGUCCUGUUAAUCUGCGGCUUGUACGCAAACAAUCUAUGAUGUUAGAUACCAUAUCUCUAUAAUAGGGUGUUAAACUCUCUCAUUAUCAAUUGACAAGGUUGAAGCUAUUCUAUCUAAUUUUUUUUAUAGAUAGUUUUCAUGAAUAAAACAAAAAAUAAAAAAUUAACCCUAUGGUUUUUAAAAUUGUUCGCUGUACAAUGAAAAUGAAAAAAAGACUUCUUUUUUUUUUUCUCCUCUUGAGUUAAGUAAAAAAAAAAAAAUGAAUUGAAUACGUUUGGCGUUUGUGAGAACCAUUUGAAUCAAGUAGUGCAGUGAUUCAAAUGGUUCUGGUUUUCCCCGGCUUACACAAAGUUUAUAUGUAUAUACACUACCCUGUGUCUGUAUUCAUCAGUCCUUUCCUCAAUUCAAAGGUUAGAUGAAAAUGUAAAUGAUCCGCCCUGAAAUGUACUCUUCUAUUCGAAAUCAGCUCAUGAGGGGCUCCAUAGUGACAAAUAAUGUGUGAUAUGAUGAAACUAGCGACCCCAGAUGACGUCAAUCUCGCAUAUAAGGCAACCUCUACCCACUUGGUGAAAUAAUCAAUGGCGACAAAGAUGAACUUAUGACCAUUGGAAGACUUCGGCAAAAUCUUCCUAAUAAUGUUCAUACCUCAUACUGAAAAUGGUCAUGGUGAAGUCAAUGCAUGUAACUCUGAAGGUGGCACAUGAAUGAGGUCCUCAUGUAUCUGACACUCUGAACAUCUCUUAACAAAUUGACAAUAGUUUGUCUUCAUGGUCAACUAAAGAUAGUUAGUCCUCAUGAUCUUAUGGACUAACAUAUGUCUUUUCAUAUGUGGUCCACAGACUCCCACAUGAACCUUUCUUAUCACUCGAUCAGCAGAGACACGGUCUAAGCACAAUAGUAACAUCUCAUUAGCAUAUCGUUUGUACAGUGUUUCCCCACAAAUCACAAAUCGGGUGGCUAACUGUUUCAAUGCUCUCUUAUCCUUGGUCGUGGUGACCUCAAGAUAUGUGCCAAAACUCAAGAACUGGUAUAUGUCAUGGUAUCAAGUCAAGCCAUCAUCUAACUCUGCUUCGUCAAUCAAGCAACAUUAGGCAGUAACAGAUCUUGACUAGAUUAAUAAAGGUCGAACAACGGUAUCAGCAAGAAUAUCAAUCAUGGAAGCUAAAGUAGCUAAGACAUCAACAAGCUGGUUUUGCGCUCUAGGCAAAUGUUUAUACCUCAAAUCAUCAAAUCUCCCAACUAAUAGCUACAAGCAUGCAUAGGCCUAAGCUUCACAUCUCUAGUCUUCCAAUGGCCCUGAAUCUGUCUCAAUACCAGAUUGAAGUCACUAAACACCUCCAUUUGUUUGAUCCCAAGCUCAAAGGCUAUCUCUAAUCUCAAGAUACAUGCCUCAUACUCAACAAUAUUGUUUGUGGCAGGGUGUCGAUCAGAAAACCCCAAAUGAAUAGAUCUAGGAAUGUGGUCACCAUGAGGGGAUAUCAACAAAACACCUAUCCCAUAUCCCGAAUGUUGGCUGCACCAUCAAAGUACAUGCACCAACCUGACAAACUAGUCACUAUAGCGAUAUCCUCAUCUUGAAAGUCAUCAUCAAUUGUUGUAGCAUCAGAAACUAGUAAUGAGGCCAAGUGAUCACAACAAUGCUCCCUUUGAUAGACUUCUGAGUAACAUAAUGAAUAUCAAACUCAGUCAAGAGUACUAACCAUCUCAUAAGUUGACCAACCAAAGUAGGCUUAUCAAAAAAAUAUCUUAAAGGAUCUAGACGGAAUAUAAAGUGCACUGAAUACUCAGUCAUGUAAUGUCUCAGUCUCCGAGUAGUCCAAACCAAUGCCAAACGAAGGCGCUCAAUCAUGACGUAUCUCAUCUCAUAAUCUAGCAUCCUCUUACUCAAAUAAUAAAUAGCUCGCUCAUUUCCUGAAUUAUUGAGUUGAGCUAACAUACAUCCCAAGGCUAUAUCUGAAACUGAUAAGUAUAAGAGAAGAGGGCGGCCUGGUGUAUGAGCUACCAAUAUUGGAGGUGACAACAAAUACUCCUUAAUCCUCUCAAAUGCAUGCUAGUACUGAUCAUCCCAAACAGUAGGUUGACUUUUCCUCAAAAGUCGAAAAAUGACUCACAAAUAUCUGUUAGUUUAGAAUUGAAUCUAUUGAUGUACUGAAGUUUACCCAAGAAGCCCCUGAUCUCUUUCUCAGUCCUCGAUGCAGGCAUGCCAAGAAUGACUCUGAUCUUAUUUGGAUUUGUCUCUAUGCCUCUCUCACUGACCAUGUAUCCCAACAAGUUCCUAGAAAUCACUCCAAAGGUGCACUUAUUGGGAUUCAAUCUCAGUCUAAACUGCUUGAUCAUCUUAAAGAAUCUCUUCAAAGUUGUUAGAUGAUCUGUUGUACCUUAGGAUUUCACUAUCAUGUCGUCCACAUCAACCUCGACAUCCCGGUGCAUCAUAUCAUGGAAAAUGAUGGUCGCUGCUCUCUGGUAGGUAACUUCUGCAUUCUUUAACCUAAACGGUAUCACUCUAUAGCAGUAAGUACCCCACUUAGUGAUAAUGGAAGUCUUUUCCAUGUCCUCUAGAGCCAUCAGAGUUUGAUUAUACUAAAAAACUUGUCCAUAAAGGACAACAUCGAAUGACUUGUUGUUAGGGAUGGCAAUUUUCUGGGCUAAUCGGGUAACCCGCCCUGCCCCUAUUGGGACGAGUGUAAAAUAUAAUAAACGAGUAUAGGUCGGGUAUGAGAAUAUUUUAAAAACCCAAAUUGGGUUUGGGACGGGUAUGGAUUUUGUUCCAACCCGGCCCGCCCUACCCCAAAUAUAUACUUACAAAAUUACCAUUGAACAACUACUAAAAUGUCAAAAAACUCUCCAUAUAUAUAUAUAUAUAUACUUCAUUCUUCCCCAUUUGCCCUAAUUCUGACGGCUGCUCCUCUUUCUUAUUCUUCCUCUGAUACAGUGGUCUUUCAUUUUUCCCAGCCCUAAUUCCGACAGUUGCUUCUUUUUCUUCCUGACAACCGCUUCUUCUUCUUCUUCCUCUAAUGCACUGCUUGAAACCCUAUCUCCAGGAUCAAUACUACUUUUUCUUCCUCCCUCACACCAACUAAAAUACUCUGAAAUCAAUUCCAUCUUGUUCUUGGUUUAGCCUCAGAGCUUAAAACCCCUCUUUCACGACAUGAAACUAGUCACAGACUCGAUCUCCUUGCCUUAAAUAUGUGCAACACAAUCAUCUAGAUCAUCUUGAAAUCUUUGUCCGAGAGCACACACACAAAAGGAACGAGAAAGCCUUUGAAGUAGUGGAAUUGAUGAAGUCUUGGUUCAAAGAUUGGCUUGAAGAAGGAAUCACAUCCAUGGCUGAUAUUGACCAAUUUUCUCGUUUGGUUCAGUUUUCAUUAUGUUCUCUUAUAAAUGGUUUAGAUGGUUUUUUUUUUUUUUUGUGUUUUUCAUUAAUUUUGAAUCAUUUAAGCUAACUAUGGGCUUAAAAUUAUUGAUUGUUGUGGUGUUAAUUUCAACUUUGAUAUUAUUUUUUCAUAUUUGGAAUAUUAUCAUAAUUAGUGAAAGGAAAGUGUAUUUGGGUAUGAGAUUUGCUCAUUGCCAGUUAGGGUUAGGGCUAAUGGACAUUCGAGAUGAGGUGGAGAUGGGAUUAUUAAUUCUUUUGUUAACGGGGAUGAGGACCAAUCAACCCGCCUCGACACUAGUUUGUGUCGGGGAUGGAAAAUAACUGUAUAAUCAAGUGCGAGAAUAAGAUGGGAAUGACUCGUCCCAAACCUGUUCUGUUGCCAUUCCUAUUUGUUGUACUGUCAACUAGCAUGUCAAUGUGAGGAAGAGGAAAAUCAUCAUUAGGAUUGGCCUUAUGGAGAUCUCAAAAUCAACAUAGACUCUCACCUUGUCGUCCCUUUUGGGAACAAGGACGACAUUGGCCAGCCACUCGAGAUACUCGACCACUAAUAAAAAUAUCACGCUGAACUGCUUCUGAAUCUCUUCCUUCACCUACAAACUCCAACAAGGGUGAAAUCGUCUCAACUUCUGCUUAACCGGUUUGGCAUGAGGCAGAAGUGGUAAGUGAUGUUGGACUAUGGAUGGAUCAAGGCCCAACAUGUUCUCAUAAGACCAUGCAAAACAUCCAAAUAUGAUUUGAGUAGCUGGACGAGGCUAGCCCUCUCAUCUAUAGACAAAUCCAAUCCAAUCCGCAGCUCCCUAGGUUGGUUUGAUGUACCAAAAUCAACAAUCUCAGCGUAUCCUAUAGUAGGUGAAACUCUCUCAUAAGUAGGGCUUGAAUCAGAAGCGACAGAGGAGUCCUCAUUUGAAUCAUGUUGCAUAGACUCAUUAUCCACGUCAUACACAUGUGAUGUGGGUAAAGAAAGUGCAAAUAAAGAAAAAUUAGUAUCACAAGAGAUAGACGAAUACUAAAAAAAGCUCAUAUCCAUAUAUGAAGAAAGAGCCGGUACAUUAUCCAUACGAGAGACAAAUCCCAAUAAAACAUCAAAAGAAAGUGAUGGGUCCACAUGCUUGAACUUUACCACAACUAGGCUAAUAACGCCCUCAAAUACAUCAUCAUCGUGAAUAACAUCAGUAAGUAACCUAGGAGCAGGGACAAACUGAACAUCCUUAACCAUCUCAAUAGCAAGUACUCCAAACAGAUUGAGUGGAGAAGCAAUUUCUGGUUAAACAUCAUUGGUAAUCUGACUCAUGUCUACCAUGAACAUUUCAUUGCUAUACUCAUCAUGUGAAACAACCCCAUCUAUGUUGUCUGCAAUCUCAAUAGAUGUCCCAUACUGAUCAGUCUUAUCUGGGAAAUAAAGUGUCACUAGGCUCGUAUGACCUAAAGACGGAAGAGUGACCUAAACAAAAGUGGAAGUGCUAGGAGCUCCAUCACUCAACUGCAAUUGAUGAACGAGACAUUGAAGCUCAGCCUCCUAAUCAACACUAUGUCCACUAGUGAUCAUUUCUGAAUGCAUUUGUAUCUCUAAUGCCCUCACAAAGUAAUAUGCUAAGUUCAUCCUGUAUGAGCAAACAAGAUAGUCAAAUGGCAUGUGAAGCAGGCAAGCUCUGAGUCUCUCAUUGCAUAGAAGCUCCAUGUAUAUGUAAUCAGCCUCUGUAAAAACAAAAACCAAGAUCGAAAGAAGUAUCAUGAUCAACUGUGGCAAUGAACUCUCCAGGGCCAUGCUGACGAUGCCCUAAACCCAAACCAGGUAAGAAAAACAUAGAUCUCAUCAUGUCCAGGACCAUAAUACUACCAUGCUCAUCAAAGGGAAGUGCCACAUAAUCUCUAUAGAAGUGCUCAACCUCCACAAUCUGUAUCUCAUCAAAGGCGAAGCUAGUAAGAAACAGGUCACCGUUACCAUGACUAAUCUCCAAUAUUGGCUCUAAAGUAAAAUAAGUGUCUCCAAUAGAUUGUAUAGUAAUGACUCCACCCUCAUGUAUAAACUUUACCUUAUGAUGAAGGAAAUAUGGUAUAGCUCUUGCUCUAUGGAUCCAAGGUUAACCCAGUAACAGGUUAAAAGAUGUGAGGAUCCUUAAAACUUGAAACAAAGCAGAGAAUGUGACCGGGCCUAUCUGCAAGUCUAAUGUCAACGUACCCAAAACCUCUCUACGUGUACUAUCAUAGACUCGAACUAUUUGAGAAGAUGGCUCAAAGUUUGAAGAUCCAAAACCAAGAGAGACUGUUGUAGUUAGUAGGCAAACGUUCAAGGUAGAGUAGUUGUCUAGAAUGAUAGAUGGAACUCGAUGCUCGGAACAACCAACAAAAAAGUAGAAAGGUAGAGUAUGGUCAAAACCCAUAGGGGGUAGAUCAUCAGUAGAAAAGACAAUGCAUGUGGCCCUAUCAGCUGUCAACAUAUGGAUCAAUCUCUCAAGGGAGGUAGAUGUCUCAACUCGUAUGUGACUCAACGCCUUGACCAGUGCCUCCGGGUGAGAUGUAGAUGAUGCCAAAAGACUCCAAGUGGAGAUGCGGGUUGAGUGCUCUGAAGUUGCCUCAAAAUCUCAUCAUCCUCUCAUCUGAUUUCCUCUCAAGUGGCAUCACUUUCUAAAGGUCUAACAACUAUGGGAGGUUUCUGUUGUACUACCAUGCCACCACGGAUGACAUACUAAGCAUCUUGAGUAAUCGUCUCAUCAAAAUCUCAACUUAAUAUAAACGAAGAUUGAAUGAUAUAGCAUGGGCAAAUCAACUACCCAACCGUAGUCAAUUGCACUGGUGAUGUGUCAGGAACUAGUCUAAAUGGUGCAGAUGCUUGUGGGUCUGAGAUCACUCCAUCAACCUCAUAGCUCUCAUCCACUACUAUAGGCUCUGGCUUAGAAUCAUCCCAACUUAGCUUAUAAAUACGAUCAGCAAGCUCAGUGAAAUCCAUGAAGUGUACACCACCAACUAGAUGAGGAACUGCAUGUGAAGUAUGAGCUGGUAGAGGGUUAAUAGUUACACUUGGUUGACCCAAGUGAAUCAAACCCUAAUCUAUCAAGUCUUGGAUAGCAUGCCUUAAAGCAAUACAACGAUCAGUCUCAUACCUUGGCCCCUAAUGGUAUGUGCAGUGUAGAUUUAUCCUAAACUGUGGCGGUAUAGGUUAAGACAAUGGCCUAGGAGCAAGAAACAUCAAUAAUCUAGUAUUUGUGAGUUUUCGAAGAGCUUAGCUCAACAACAUACCCAACUGCGAAAACUGUCUUAGUGUCCUCAAAGCAAAAUGAGCAAAUGCUUGUGGAACUCUAGGUCUAGGGUAUAAAGUUGGAGGUUUCUCGAUGACUUGUGUUGCAUAGCAUGGUUGUAUUAGAGCAAGAUAUGAGACUGGAGGCUUUUCUUUGCCCAGUACUGCAUAAUGCGGUUGUACUAGUGUGGGAGAUGGGUAAGUUUGAUCAUACAAUUGAGGAGGUGCUUGUGACCUAUAUUGGCGAGGUGAAUAAGAAGGGUAAGUCCCAACAGGCUGUGAAACUGGCUGAUGAUGCCUGAGAAGUCUUUGACUAGUAGAAGUAAUAGUGCCCACAUAUGACCUUUGUCUUCCAAUUGGUUUCUUCCCUUUAGCAUCAAUAGAGGAAGAAUAGGAUCAUAACCCUCUCGAAAUGCAAUCCUCCACGUCAUACAACGCUAAAACCAGAGAUCCAAAGUUUAUAAAAGGUACUCCAACCACAUGUCUAACAAUCCUAGGCUGUAGACUCCUCAAAAUCAUCUAUAUUUGAUCUUUCUCUAAUAGUGUAUCAACAAUCUCUGCCAUCUUCCCCUGUCAAUGGGAGAUGAAGGAAGAAAUAGACUUAUCUGAUCUCUGUCUCAAAGUCUUUAGCCCUCUCAUUGACAUAUCUACAACAAUGCUAAAUGAAAACUAUCGGAAAAACUCCUAAGCUAGGUAAUCUCAUGUUCUGCGUUGUGAGGACUCCAAAUAUGAGAACCAACGAUGGGUUGCACCACUCAGUGAUAAAAGGAACAUGGUGAUUGCGACUCGUCUAACCCAUGGGCCUUCAUUACAGUAUUGUAGAGUUGAAGAUGAAUAUGGGGAUAACCAACGCCCUUGUACCUCUCGAUGUCAGGCAUCCUAAACUUGGUCGGUAGAAUGACCACUGGUAUACUAUCAAGAUCAUCCCAAAUAACUAAAUUGUCAGAUACUCUCAACUAUUUGAUACACUGCUGGAUACGAUCUAUGCAUGCUUGAGUAUCCUCAGGGAAUGUGUUAUGUAUUGUUAUAGGUGGGAUGACCUCAAAUUGACCGUGUAAUAAAUAAGGUAGGGCCUAUGGCAUUGUCUAGCUAGGUGGUGGUGCUAGCGGCGGCAGUGAAUCAUGAGGCACCUCGUCAUGAGCUAUAGGUUGUCUACUCUACUAACUACCCAUCUCCUGUCUAAGAUUGGUCAAGGCCUCUUGAAUGGAAGCCAUGACGGCCAUGAACUGGUUAAUUGUAAUGGAUUACUGAUCCAUGUCUGAUCUCACGGAAGUGCGAACCCUUUACUUUGACCCAAGAUGGUAAAUCCAGAUUGAGAAUGAAGAGCCAAUCCUACAAAGCAUGAAACAUAGGAUAAGGUAUGUGAUUACUACCAAAAAGUGCUAUUUUGUAGACCUAAUUAUAAUGGUUUUAAGCACCUUUGAGUAGUAAUCAUAUUCAUUUAACCCAAUUAAUUCAUUAAGGUCCUUAGUAAUUGGUUUUAGCCAUUUUGUGGCAAGUUUACAUGUUUUUCAUCAGCUUAUGAACCAAUUCAAGCAUGCCAAUUGAUGGAGGAGCUACUUGGGCGAGUUAAGCAAGGAUUUUGGACAUUUACAGGCUUGAAUUUCAAGUGGAAACACGAGCACAAGCCAUGGGAACACCAUUUUGCAAGGAAAGAACAAUGGAGAAGAGGAAAACAGAGGACAGCAGCUGCAGUCUUCUUUCGCACUUUUAGAGCACUUCCCGAAGUCCAUUUUCUACAUGCUAUAUACCAUUUCAAAGCUCAAGAAGUCAAGAAUCCAACGCUUCAAACCGUGUACGAUUUGGAGCCAAAAUGAGGAAGAUAUGGCCUUCGGAAGACAACUGCAUCAAGCCAUGGGAACACCAUUUCGCAAGGAGAUUUUCUUCAUGGUGCGAAAUUUGGCCAUUUCGCACCAUGAAGAACCACCUUGCGAAAUUUCGCAAGGUGGCUUUUCACCUUGAGAAAUUUGGACCCUUCAUCUUUCCAUUCCACUGCCGGUUCUCCAAGAUAUUUUGCUUGAUUUUUAGCUUUGUAAAUACCUAUUUUACCCUUGUAAUCAACCAAUGAAUAGGUUGCUUUUGUAAUAGCUCUUGUAAUUUAGCUUGUUAUUGUCUUUAAAUAGAGGUGAAGAGCCUCAGACAAAUAAUCUUGUAACCUGUAACUUUAUAAGUUAUAAGAUCACUUUUGUUCAUACGCUUCUUUUCUCUUUUCUUUCUCAUUUUCUUAGUAGCCAAACAUCCUUGGAGGAUGAAAUCCCCAAGGAUGAGAGGCUAAAACCUUUUAGUUUCUUGAAGUAAUGGAUUCCAUGUGAAGCUCCCGUGUCAGGAUGGAGAUUUCCAAGCCAUAAAUGUAAGUAGCUGAGCGUCAUAAAUGUUUUCAUUCAAAGUAAAGAUUUUAAUCCCUCUGACUUGCUUUGAAUGGCCAAUACUUGAUAACCUUUUGGUCUCACUGGAUUCUUAUUGUUAGAUCCACUGACGUUCAUUAGUUAUCUCCUACGAGCCAUUGUAUUGCAAGUCGAGGAGAUGACCUAUAUCAAUAAAAGAGCAUUUAUGAGGUUCAGCUACCCUUUUUGUAAGUUUUCAAGAACUAAAACUCAGUUGUUAAACUCAUACCGGUUCGGGAAGUAAGCAUCACCUUAGUUGCUUCCCCAACUCGAGGUGAAAAGUCCCAAAAUCUCCAUUUUUACACAGUGAGUUAAGCAUGGCUAUCCAAAGCUUUGAGAAACUUCUUUUUCCAUCUUUUAACCUAUUUUCAUGUUAGUUUAGUUUAGUUUACAACACCUUCAUCUUUUUAUGUUUUCAUCUUAACCUAAUUUUUAUUAAGAAAAGUUCACUCCAUCCUCCGAACAUCACCAGUUAAAGUAAAAACCCUUCCCAGUGUUCGAUCCUAGAGCCACUAUGCUAUAGUAGCUUUGCUACUUUAGUGUAAAGACCUUAGGUAUAAAUUUUGUUGAUACCCUUACAUGCCAAGCUACCAAGAGUCGGGUUAUCAAAUGGCGCCGUUGCCGGGGAAUUGUAAUGGAUUACUGAUCCAUGUUUGAUCUCACGGAAGUGCAAACCCUUUACUUUGACCCAAGAUGGUAAAUCCAGAUUGAGAAUGAAGAGCCAAUCCUACAAAGCAUGAAACAUAGGAUAAGGUAUGGCACGGGGAAAACACAGAAGAAAUGCUAAUAUGAAUUGGAAGAAACAAGUCAACACAAAGCAGAAUGGUGACCCAAAUAUAACCCAAACUCGUACUGAUCUCUAAGCACUCUCAAUUAGAGACCAAAGAUGGAGUAUUGGAUCCAAACUGUGACUAAAGCGGCCCCAAAGGCUCUCAAAUACACCCACGUGUAGGAAAAAAAUCCUAAUCAAAAGAUUUAAGGCUCAACAUACGAGGUCAAGGGAACUAUAAAAAGAAAAAAAUGUGGAUUUUAAAGGAUCCUUAGCAGAAACAAUUGUACCAUCCCGCCAUACGCAACCUCCUGCACGCCUCUGAAGAGACGAGAGUGUUUCCAUGCAAGGUGGUCAUCACCUCCACACAUGCACUAUCUCGCAUCCUAAAGGGUUUCCUAAUGGUGAAUGCUCUCACAUCUCUCAACACGCAGUGGUAAUCUAAAGUGCAUAGUGAACGGUGUGGGUGCAUCUGAAAAUCCUAUCAAAUUAAGCGGAAAGAAAACACACUAAUCACAUAAAUAUCUUAAAAUCUAGCUUUGGGCUAUACAAGUCUUCAAAUAUUGGACUCCGAUCAGCAUCAAUGUUUUGGCCUCCUCCAGAAUGCUCCCAAACAUAAAUAUAGUCCAUCACUAAACCCUACUCUGAAUCACUAGCUCAGUCGAAGAGCAAACAAAGUAACAAGUCUUGUAUCAAAUACGAGAUUGAAGGAAACAAGGUCGACCGAGAUAAGGGAGUUGGAGGUAAGAUGAUAGAUGUGUGUCCCACAUAGACAAGUAAUGCAAGCAUCACAUAGAAGAAGAGCAAUCAUGCAAAUAACAUGUAUAUCACUCAUAUCACAAGCUGAGCAUAAAUAUGAUAAGUAAGAUAGGUAUAUAAUAAAAUAGACAAUAAGUUGAGACAAACAAGAUGUUAUACAACAAAGAGAAUCAAUCAUGGCAAGAUGAAUGAGAAUAUACAUGUCAAGGAAAGUAAGAUAAUCAUACAACAAGAAGAGUCACUAUGUAAAAGUAGGUAAGGGAAUCAAUCAAUAUAAUUAACAUGUGAACAUCUCCAAUGAACAAUAUUAACCAAACAUGCACCAUAGAUAAACAUAUCAAAGCUCUCAACGUGUAAUCAAUACCCAAUCAUACCAGGACACAUAGAGAGAGGUAUCCACUGAUCAACCAAUCAAACGCCACAUUUUCCUCAACUCGAGUUCAAGUUUGACCUUCUAAAUAUCCCUAGCAAAGUUGCCAUUUUGUGGUCCCACAUUUUUCACUUGCGUUCUCACUCGAACGACGAGAUUCAAUUUUUAUUGAUUUGUGAAAAAAAAAAUUGAUUUUUAGAAAAAGACUUAGAGUCUUAUUUUAGUUUUUAUUUAUUUAUUUAAGAAAAACAAAAUAAGAAAGAAAAUCAUGUGCGACUCCUUAUUUAGAAAAGACAUGUUUGCAAAAAUCGAGUCUAGAUUCGGGGGUUAAGUUACUUAUUAGAAAGGUAUGGUGGUGAGUCGUAGUAUUCCUCUAAGCCCGUAUACAUACGGUCUCUACUAAACGAAUUGGAGGAAUUGUGACAAUUAACUAAUUAAUCAUGAAUAUCGAGAAAAUGAAUCAUACAAAUAAAUAAAUACAAGUCAUGGUAAAAAUCAGAUUAUAAGAAUGUACAAAAUAAAUAGAAAGAGAAAUACAUGAAUCAAUUUAUUAAGUUAAUUAAAAAAAUUGUUUUAUUAAUCCAAAUGUCAUGACACAAUUUCAAAAAAAAUUGAAAGAAUUUAUUUGCAUUAAAAAAACAAUUUUGAGUUGAUGAUUUCAAUUUAUUAAAAAAAAUCAAUUUAUUUUCAAAAAACAAUUAUUUGAUUCAACUUUAUUUGUUUUCAAUUUUGGAAAAAGUUAUUUACACUUAUUUUAUUAAAAAAAUUUAUUGAAAGCAAUUUUAUUUAUAAGAAAAUGGUUUUAUUUACCUUUGUUAGAAACAAAAAGAAUAAAUUUUUAUAAGUUUAUUUAUGUUUCACUUUAACUUUUAUUUGAAUGUAAGUGUGGACCCCGCAUUUCUGCACAUGCGCUUUUACUCGAUGGAGAACUCGUUUUUUAUUUGAAAAAGAUUUUUUUUGUAGAAAAUGACUUGGAAUCGCCACUUAUUUUUGUUUUAUUUUUAAAGGGAAAACAAAAUAAGAAAGAAAACCCUAAGUGUGACUCCUUAUUUGAAAAAGAUGGUAUAUGAAAAAUCAAAUCUGGGUUCGGGGGUCAAGUUACUCAUUGGGAAGGUACGACAAUGACCGUAGCACCCCUCUAAGCCCCUAAAAAUGGGUUUCUACUAAUUAAGUUAAAGCAAGUGUGACAAUUAAUUGAUCAAACAUGGAUACCAAAAUAAUAUCAAUCCAAAAAUAAUCGAAUGAACAAGAAAGACAGAUAGUGUACUUGAGUGAUGAAUUGAUUGCUUCAUGGAAAGUAAAGGCUAGUGAAUGAACACAGAAUAAUCGCAUACAUAUUAUAGAGUGAGGCAAGUCAAUCAAGCAUGGUAAUCAAUCAAUCAAUGAGAAAAUCACACAUAUUGGGCCCCACCAAAACCCGAUUUAUUUUUGCAUGAAUUAAUCCCAUAAAUUCCAUUAUUUGGAAUUAUGAAAUUUAUUUGCGCUUAUUUUAAAACAUUUAAAAAUCAAGGAAGAUGUGAAAAAUACUUGUCGAAGAGAAGAUGGCAACAAAUUUUAUUAAAAUGAGGUUUUUGCUAACCUAAAACUCUAAUGAAGAAUGAAAAGUUGAGUUAAAUUAUUUGGAAACUGAAUUUUCAAAAAUCAAUUAUCAAGGUAAGGAAAAGAAGCACAUGAGCUUUGAAAAUGGGCCUAUGAAGGUGGCCAUGCAUGGCCCUAUAGGAAUGGGCCCGGAGUGUCACUAGUACUGCAUUGUAAGGUUGGUGAUUGCAGUUGCCAUCUUCUCCAAACCUGAAAAGGGUCACUAUUGAGCAUCCAGAACGAGUUAUCAUGAUCUCUUCAACUGGCUUAUAAUAUUCCAAGAAUGAAUUGAUUGUGGUUUCCCAAUAAACAACAUCUCCACCAUUGGAUUGGAUGCGGGUAAGAUGGGAACCCUCCACGUGAACAAAAAUACCUGUUUUUUAGCCGAAAUAGUUAAACAAAACAUGUCUUAUGAUCUCCUCUAGGCCUUCACUCCUGGCAUUCAAUGUCUGAGGGUCAGCACAUAGCUUGAUGAUAAAGCAAUCCUCACCAUCGAUAUUCUUUUCUUCAAUGCAUCUUGCAUCAGCAAACAUACUAGCAGUGGUUCUUGGAUCAAGGCCCUGAAGAGCUCGAUGCAAUGGCCUAACAGGGCCCUUUGUAGAAUGCACUCCCAGUUAGGGCGUGUGCCUUCAGACAAGCUUGCCAUUGCAACCAGCAUGAACCUUGCUACCCCCAAUUUCAAGUUCAACAUACCACAUGUUCGGAUUCAUCUGCUAGAGCACAAACCCACUUGAAUCUAUAUCUUUUGAGGCAUUCCGAUUUUUGAAAACCCUAGUUGCACUCUCAAACUCAAAAGUUAUCAUCAUCACCUUUCCCAUGGCAUAAGGGGUUAGUGGUGCUAACGUGCACUAGGACGAGAUCAUCACUUUGCCAUCAUCACCUUCAUGAAUUCCUCAUAGUUUAUCUACCCAUCACCAUCCACAUCAGUCUCCCGAAUCAUCUCAUCAACUUCUUCAUCAGUCAGUUUCUUACCCAAGUUUGUCAUUACAUGACACAACUCAACAGCAAACUAUUUUUCUUCGCCAUUGUAGGUGGCCAUGCAAACUACCACAACUUGAUAUCACUCUAAACAGAGGAAUCGGUGAAUCUCCUACCAAUUAGAUGCUUUGCAUUGAAAACAGUGUUAAUAGGGUUCGUAGCAACCUGAUUCUCAGCGGCAUCACCGAUCAAACACUUUGUAUAAGUGAAAGUGAUGUAAGAGGGAGUAGUCUCGUUGCCUUGAUUGUUGGCGAUGAUCUCGACACGGUCGUGUUGCCAUACUUUGGUGCAAGAGUAGGUAGUUCCAAGAUUAAUUUGGAUGGUUGGGAGAAGGGUAUCAGAAGUAUAUUUUUCCAAGGUGUUGAGUUUUUGGUAAGUCACGUGUGUUGAUGCCUCGCGUCUUUGAUGAUCCACGUAGUUGCCAGAUGGGUAGACGCGUGAUUUCAACUUAUACAGGUUCUUGAUCCAGUCGUUAUACCUGCAAGAAGGCAUCCGGACAGGGUGUCCGGACGCACCCUCCGAUGGUUUUGUUAGCCAUGGUCAGAGAGAGGAAUAUAAAUCAGUUGGCCUUUUACCAGAUAUUAGAAGGUUACCAAGGGAUCCCUUUCUUCUUCGUGCGAAGGCAUAUAUAUACAGCUUCAGGGGUACUGUUCCUCUCAUUAAUGGCGAGGAGAUAUUUUAUGUUUGUCAUGAUGACAUUCGGAGGCAGCAUGGUCAUCGCCACCUUACUGGUGGCUGUCAGAAACCGUGGUAGGUGAUGCUGCUGUCUAGAUAUCGUGGGAAGUGAUCAUGUAGAAUGAUCGUGGGAAGUGACUUGUUGUCACCUCGACCCGUCCUUUCACUCUGUAGAUGAUGGGACGUGGGCCAUGGCUGGUUGUCGUGAUAGCGUGUAAGACUCGCUUUACUUUAAUUGAUGAUCCGGACGAUUAUGUCCGGGUGGCACAUGCUAAUUGCCCGGAUGUAUUGUGGAGCGGAAGCAUUAUGAAGGUUGUCCGGAUGUCUGUGUUUUGCCAGCGACGUUUGCUCUUCCUUGGAUAGGAGAAGUUGAAACGUCAUUUGCCUUUCCUUGAGGCGGUCCGGAUAGGAGAACCAUCGUCAUGCGUAUCCUUAGGGGAAUCCGGAUGAUGAUGGUCCGGCUGAUAACACGUGCCACGUGUCAUUGUGAGGUGCGUGCCACAUGUUUCCCAGAGGGAGGGGUCCCUACAUUGCCCCUCUUUUUAACUUGCCUAUUUUGCCAAAAAAUGGGCGGGUUAAAAAAUAACUGGCUUUUUUGAAAAACUGAAGAGGUCUCUUUGUCUGACUGGGCCACGUGGCGAGUGGGGGUGCGGAAGCCAAAAAAGGUCUUUAUGACGAGCCGCCGACUCUGGGUAUUCCCAGGCAGCAUGUCGUUUCAAUGAUAGCUUGUUUGGACAUUUGGCUUUCCGAGGGCCUAUCCCCCUAUAAAUAGCGCACUGUUGCUUCUUUUUGCAUUUUUUCCUACUGCAUUCUCUUGAGAGCCUUUCUUCUUCCUUCUGUGCUUCCCUUUGCUUUUUUGAGUGAAAAACCCUAGAGUUUUUCCUGCCGGUGUUUUCGUAUUGCGACAUUUGUUUGCUGCUGGUGAUUUUGUAUCGAGACAGCAACCUUUCUUUUUCAGAGCUUCAUUUGGUACGUGUGCUAUUGCUGUUCCUUUUGUUGCGUUUGUUGGCUCUUUGGUCUUGGUUUCUGGUUAGUUUGGGCUAGGGUUUGUGUAUUUUCUGGGUUACUUGUGUUUUACCCAUUGCGCUUCUUUGUAUGUAGAUUUUGUCUUUGUGGUAAGAGAUGGCUGCGAAAAAGAAUGUUUCAUCUUCCCGGGCUAGCGAGGUUUGUGGAAAAGCGAUAGAUAAGCUGGACGCGAAGGAAUUCUGAGAGCGGUUCUGUAUCCCGAAUGGCGUGGCUAUCGAAUUGCUGAAUGGGAGGGUGCUUGUGCCCUCUGAGAAAGCAGAAGAAAAAGCCAUCAUUUUCUCGAAGGAACAAUUCAACGCGGGACUCCAGUUCCCUCUGCCGGCGUUGUUCAAGGAGUUCCUCCAUUUCACCCAAAUUCCACCCGUCUUCAUUCAUCCCAACAUCGUCCGGGUGCUGAUGGGAUGCAGCAUCAUAAAUAUGCUGUACAACCUCGACCUCACGCUGUUGGAUUUGUUUUUUGUGUAUUCUUUGAAGAAGGUAAAAAAUGACAUCUUCAGCAUGUCCGCACACCUACCCUCCCUCCAACUGGUGACGAAGCUGCCAGAUUCGACAAAGGGAGGGGCGACGGGACACGUGGUGGUCCAGGGUGCAUGGGCGGGGCUUUUGGAGCAUCCGACGAGGCCUUUCCCUCCAAACUACUCCUUGGCGGUUCCGGGUAGGUUUACUUUGCAACUAUUGUCCGGCUCUUACUUUGUUGAUUUUUUUUUUUUUUUUUUUUUACUUUUCCGGAUGGUGUUCUCAUCUUUUGUUGCUCUUAUUGUAGGUCCGGAAUUGAGGGGCCACCUUGUGGACUGGGUGGAAAAGGCGUCUUUUGACCAUCUCAGCAAGCUUUUUGAGAUAAACGCCAAGGAGAGGCAGUAUAAGACGCUGCUAACUGCGCGGAAUCUGACGGCGGUCGUCUGGGAGCCCCAAGAGUACGUCAUCAACAUUCUCCCCAGGAAGAUGCCAAAGGAGGUAGUGCCUGGGGAGCAUUAUAUUGUGAAGGAUCUCCCGAUUUACGAGGCGUUAAAAGAGGCUGACGCUGAAAAACGCCGACUUCUCCUGGAGGAUCGGGAGAAGAAGAAGAACGAAGGGACCCUUCGGAAGGCUCCCGGACAGAAACGCGACGCAGACUCUCCUCUAAAGAAAACUCCAGCGAAAAGGAGGAAGCUGGUGAAGAAGCAUGGGAAGGACGUGAAGGAGCCCACUCCUCCCAAGAAAUUUGCUCAUCCGCCCAUUAUUCACGAGGCGGAGGUAAUGAUAGAGGAGCCAGUGAACCCUGCCCCUCAUUCCAUCUCCAGCGGAUCCGGACAUCUUGCGGGGCUGAACCACUCAAGCACCUCCUUGGCAGCGGUUGCGCGUCUAGCGAAUUUGGCUGAGGAAGCUGCGUCUGUCAACCAUCCGGACUCCCGUAAUCCGGAUGCCGAUGCAGCUGAGGCCGUUUGUGCGACCCCCAUGGAGGAAGUGGGAGAAGAAAGCCAGAGUCAGCCCCCUGAUGAUCCGGGCCGGCUGGCUCUUGUUCUGGUGACGGGGCCACCUUCAAAGAAGCCUCGCUCGGUGCGCAAUCUGAGGUCCGGACUCCACGGGCGGCUUCAAGAGCGGCAGCAAGAGAUUGAAGUCAGUUGCUCAUCCGCCCACGACGCUCAUCCGGAGGGGGGCGAAGUGGAGAUGAUAACUGAGACUCCAGCCGUCCCGGUGGUGGUCCCGGCUGAGGUUGCAUCCGGGGAGGCCCAUCCGGCCGUAAAUGUUGAGGCCCCUCACCCGGAACGAAAAUCGCCUUCUGCUGCUUCAUCCAAGGGCGGACCUGUUAAUGAUGCUUCUUGCUCCUCCGAUAAUUCUUUUAGUUAUGCGGAGUUGGAAGAUAAGCUGAAAGAAAUUCCACCCGGCUCGCCUGAUAUCAUGCCCUCAGCCCAGAUGUUCGAAAAUGUGGAAAUGGUAAAACUGUUUUUCGUGCUUUUUGAUUGUUUUGCCAUUUUGUUGUGUUGUUGUGGUAUGAUUUAUAACUUUGCAUUGCUUGUUUGUGUGUCAGCUGGUGAGUGGUCUCCGUGGCAUGGCCCGACACCACGAUCUCUUUUCUGAUCUGCUGCGGACCACUGAUUAUAUGAGGAUCUUUGUCUCUCGGCAUAAAGAAAGCGAAAACCAGCUGCGCCUGAAACUGGAAGAGGCUGAAGCUGGCUUAUCCACCAUACGAAAAGAAAAUGCAGCCCUCCGGGUGGAUUUGGCUGAGCAAAGAGUCGGGAGGAAUCAGCGGUCGACCGCCUGCAUGAGGCAGCAGAUGAGAUAGCCUAGCUGAAGGGGGAGGUGAGGCAACUCCGGACAGAAGUUUCAAUAAAAAAGAAACAGAGGGAAGAUUUGAAGCUGCGCUUGGUUGCACAAAAAGAGGAGCUAGAACGGGAGUUUGCUGCAGAGAGGGAGGAACUUGAAGCCGAAUAUCAAAAACAAGUGGAUGAUACGUUCAUCUUUGGGUAUCGGUGCUGCAUGAAGAAGAACGGUAUCAAGCAGGACAUGCCUUCGAUUCCUCCGGGUGAAGAAAAGAAACUUCAUGACAAGCCUGCUCCCUGAUAUCUUCUCUUUUUGCAAUUUCUUCUGUAAUCUUCCUUUUGUAUUUUUGUGGUCCAGAGACCUCAUUGUACAUACUUUUAGCUAUAUUAAUAAAAAUACUUCUUUUCUCGUUUGAACUUGUCUUUGCUUUUUUAUUGAUAAUACUGCUUUAAAUUAGACACAUUCCAUGGUCUAAGUAAUGGAGUUCCGUCUAGCUUUUGCAAAUGAUAGGCUCCAUUGUUACUUGCCUUAGACACUAUAUAGGGUCCUUCCCAGUUGGCUUGGAAUUUCCCUGCACCCACUUCAGUAGUAUUUUCAAAAACUUUUCUAAGGACUAGCGUACCAUUUUUGAAGGCUCUUGGCCUCACUUUGCGAUUGUAGUGUGCUGAUGCCCUUUGUUGAUAAUCUGCCAUCCGGAUGGCCGCACUUUCCCUUACUUCAUCCGUCCAAUCCAAAUUUCUUCCUAAUUCCAUGUUUGCAUCACUUUGUUUUGCUGCAUCAGUCCAGAUAGUAGGGAGACCUAUUUCGGUAGGAAUGACUGCAUCCAUUCCAUAUGCGAGAGCGAAUGGAGUAUUUCCUGUUGGCCGUCCGGGUGUAGUUCGGUAGGCCCAUAGGACGCCGGGCAGUUCCUCGACCCAUUUUCCUUUGGCUUGUUCAAGCCUUUUCUUUAAGGCAAUGAUUAGGGUCUUGUUUGUGGCUUCUGCUUGCCCAUUGCUUUGAGGAUAUCGUGGUGUGGAGUAUGAGUUCCGGAUGUUUAGCUCCGAACAAAAAUUCCUGAAUGCAAUGCUAUCAAAUUGUGGACCAUUGUCGGCUAUGAUGGUUUGGGGAAUUCCAAAGCGGCAGAUAAUAUUUUUCCAUACGAACUUGGUGACAUCCUUGUCUUUGAUGCUAGCAUAUGCUUCAGCUUCCACCCACUUACUGAAAUAAUCUAUGGCAACAAGCAAAAACUUCUUUUGGGCGGGUGCAGUUGGGAGAGGUCCCACUAUGUCCAUGCCCCAUUGUGCGAAGGGUCAUGGGUCUGAGAUUGAUUUUAACGUUGCUGAUGGCAUAUGUGGAAUGAGGGAAUACCUUUGACAUUUAUCACAUCUUUUGACAUAUGCUGCCGCGUCUUUCUUCAUUAUUGACCAAUAGUAUCCUUGCGAAUAGGCUCUAUGUGCCAGAUAUCGUCCUCCCGAAUGAUUUCCGCAUAUUCCCUCGUGUAACUCAGCUAACACAUAUUGGGCCUCUGACUGCCCUAGGCAUCGAAGGUAAGGUCCUGUAAAGGAUCGCUUGUACAGGUGCCCCCCAAUCAGGGUGAAACGGGCAGCUUGCACUCGGACUUUGUGUGCCUGCUUGAGAUCUCCGGGUAGAGUUCCGGUCCGGAUAUAUUCUGUGAUGUCAUACAUCCAUUCUUGGCCGUCCGCUUGGGGUGCCUCAAUGGUAUUGCAGGUUGAAAUUUCUGAGACAGAGGGGUCGGUUUGCACAUGUAUGGGCAGUAGAAUGGCUUCUUUGAUAGGGAGGGAGGCAGCUAUGCCGGCCAAAGCGUCAGCGCGCCUAUUGUCAGCUCGCUUGAUUUUUUCGAUUGUCCAUUCGGUGAAUUGCUGCAAGGUGUUUCUUAUUUUAGCUAAGUAUCGCGCCAUGCGUGCGUCCUUAGCCUCAUAUUCUUCCUGGACAUGUUUUACAACGAGUUGUGAGUCGUUGAAGAUCCGGAGUUUGGAGACGGAUAGAGCAAGGGCGAGGUCCAAUCCGGACAAGAUAGCCUCAUAUUCUGCUUCAUUGUUAGAGGCAGAGAAUCCCAGCCGGAUGGCUUGCUCCAAAUGUUCCCCAGUUGGGGAUUGUAGUAGGAGCCCAACUCCAGAGCCUGAUGAGCGUGAGGCUCCGUCAACUCGCAGAGUCCACCAUUCUUUUUUAACUGAUUCGUCAUGUUGGCUGGGUCUUUGGGAAUAUUCUAGCACGAAGUCAGCCAUUACUUGGCCUUUCAUGGCCAAUCUGGGUUGGAAUUCGAUUCCAAAUUCACUUAAUUCAAUGGCCCAUUGCAGCAUUCUCCCGGUUAAAUCUGGUUUGUGCAGAAUGUUGCGAAGGAGUUGGUCGGUUAACACGAUCACCGGGUGGGCUUGGAAAUAGGGCCGGAGCCUUUGGGCAGUGCUCCGAAGGGCUAAGGCUGUUAGCUCCAUUUUUAAAUAUCUGGUUUCUACGUCUGCCAAUGCCCUGCUGACAUAAUAGAUAGGUUUCUGCUCCUUGGGUGAGGGGCAGCGGAAUAGAACGGCGCUGAUUGCCCAUUCUGAUACCACCAGAUACAUGUACAAUUUCUCUUUUGGGAUGGGGCUGCUCAAGAUGGGUGGUUGCAUGAGACAAUGCUUAAUUUUUUCCAAAGUGUUUUGGCAACUGUCCGUCCAUCCGUGCGCUCCAGCUUUUCGUAUUGCCACGAAGAAGGGUCACAACUCAUCAGUGAAGCGGGCUAUGAAACGUCCUAACGCGACGAGCUUGCCUGUGAGGCGUUGUAACUCCUUCUUGUUCCUGGGAGGAGGUGUUUCCAUGACUGCCUUGACUGGAUCCGGGCUGACUUCUAUGCCCCUUUGGCUGACCAUAAAUCCUAGAAAUUUGCCGGCACUCACUCCAAAGGCGCAUUUGGAAGGAUUUAGCUUCAUGCCAUACUUUCGUAAGAGGUGAAAAACUUCUUGCAAAUGAAGGAUAUGCUGCUCUCGAGUUUCGCUUUUGACUACGAUAUCGUCAAUAUAUACCUCUACCGAGUGGCCUAUUAGAGGUUUGAAGAUUUUAGUCAUCAAUCUUUGGUAAGUGGCGCCAGCAUUUUUGAGUCCGAAUGGCAUGACUUUAUAGCAAUAGAGGUCGUGUGGCGUUAUGAAUGCUGUUUUUUCUUCAUCAUCCGGGGACAUGGGGAUUUGAUGAUAUCCGGAGAAGGCAUCCAAGAAAGAGAGCAUCCCUUGCCCGGAAGUGGAGUCCACAAUCUGAUCUAUUCGUGGCAAGAGAAAACUGUCUUUUGGACAGACAUUGUUGAGAUUGGUGUAAUCUAUACAAACUCGCUAUUUUCCUUCUUUUUUAGGUACCACAACUACGUUUGCCAACCAAUCCGGAUAAGAAACUUCUCUGAUAAAUCCGGCUUCGAGCAAUUUGUCAAUCUCAUUCCGGAUGACUCUCUGUCUCUCCGGGUGAAAGCGCCUAAUUCUCUGCCGGAUGGGUCUGGCAGUUGAAAAGACGUUAAGCCUGUGAGAUGCAAUGGAGGGAUGGAUUCCCUUCAUGUCGGAAUGUGCCCAUGCGAAGAUGUCAUGGUUCUGUCUGAGAAGAUUUCGCAUGCCCUGAGUUUCUUCUUGUGUCAUGAGGGAACUGAUAUUCGUGAGGUGAUCGUUUUCCUACGAAAUUUGGAUUAUUUGUAAGGGAUCUGCUGCCGGGGGAUCUUUGUCCGCCGGACCCAAUAAUUGCUAUUGGUCGUGUGCAAUGCUGGGUUCAGGGGGAGAUGCAUCCUCCUGGUUAGCCCCUGCUUGUCGUGCUAUUUGAUAGCAUUGGCGAGCGGCUAAUUGGCUGCCAUAUAGGUCGAUUUGGCCAUCGUUGGUGAGAAAACUCACCAUUUGAUGAUAUUUAGAGGGGAUAGCUUUCAUGUAGUGGAGCCAUGUACGCCCUAAAAUGACAUUGAAGGGUGACAACUCCUAUACUACUGAAAAUUGUACGUUGAGCGUGACUGGGCCAGCUUGGACCGGUAGUAUGAUAUCUCCCAAGGAUGUGGUUGAUGAUCCGUUAAACCCGGAUAAGAUUCGUCCGGGGUUUUCAAGGCCCGCGAGACUAUGUCCCAUGCGGUCAACGACUGAUGCUUGCACCAGGUCGGCCGAACUGCUUGGGUCAACCAAGAUACGCCGCACAUCGAAGUCCCCAAUUUCCAGGGACAAGAUGAGGGCGUCGCGAUGUGGUUGUAGCGUCCGGGCGGGAUCUACUGGUGGGAAAAUUAUUGUUCCAUCUAUGGGGCGAGGGCCCUCUCCAGUCAGACCCGGCCGGAUGGAAUUAAUGCGUUCGCGUAUUGAUGCAGCCCGCAACAAUUUCUGUCUUUUCCGCCUGGAGUCAUACUCCUCGUCAGAUGGUCCUCCGUUAAUAUAGCUGAUGACGGCCUUGGGGGCAACUGAGACCCUAGGGGCUCCAGGGUUGUUGUGCUGGGAAACAUCCCUAUUCCCAGUAUCCGUGCGGAGGUAUUGCUUCAAAUGUCCUGCUUUUAUGAGCCUCUCGACCAGAAACUGAAAAGCUCGGCAUGUUUCUGUUGUAUGGCCAUGAUCCUUAUGGAAGGCACAUCUCCUACUACGAUCCCUUGUGGAUGGGUCCGUUCCAAUGGGUCUAGGCCAUCUGAAGUCGGACAAGCCUUGGAUAAUUGGGAAAAGUUUCUCAUAUGAUAUGGAAAGAGGUGUGAGAGGCGGCAUUUCCGGGCGACUUGGCCUUUCCUGCUUUCGGUCAGACGGCUUUGGCCGAUCCGGAGGUUUAUUGCUUCCCUCCAUACUACUUCUAGCUGGCCGUCCGGCAACCAAAACUUGCUGAGUGGCCGCACGCACGUCAUCUUCGAGCAUUGAAUAUUUGUUCGCACGUCUGAACAAAUCGUCCAUAGUUGUAGGAGGCUUUUUGGGCAGUGAUUCGAAAAAUGGAGUGCCUGGACAGAUGCUUCGUUUGAAGAUCUGUAGGACCGCGUCCAUGCUGCAAGCCUCUAUUUGAAGUACGGCCUGGCCAAAUCGUUUCACAAAUUCCCUCAGGGAUUCGUUAUCUCGCAUUUUUAUGUUCUGGAGGAUGCUGAUAUUCUGUUUGUGUCGAGCAGAGCACAAGUAUUGUCCCACGAAGGCUUCAGACAGGUCCCUGAAAUUGUCAACAGAGUUGGGAGGUAGGCGAUGAAACCAUGAAAGGGUCUGCCCUUGUAGGCUGGCGGGAAAUACUUUGCAUAGUAAUGCAUCGUUGCCAAUAUCGAGCGUCAUAAGCUGUCGAUAGUGCAUGAUGUGAUCGAAGGGAUCGUUGGUUCCAUCGUAUGUGGAAAAUUUUGGUACGAGGAAUCCCCUUGGGGGCUCGUAAUGAAUGAUAUGAGAGCAGAAGGGCGUGGAGAGCAUGUCAUCCAGCCUUUUGCUGAUGGAGCCGAUGGGUGGCUCGUUUGGAAGGUUUCUUCCAGCUGGUCGUUCUGCUGGGUGCGAAUGAACGUUCCGCAUGACGGGGGUGACUACGGGGUCACGAUGCGGGUGAACGUUUUGCACCCUGGGGGUGGCCAUGGGGUCAGGGCGUGGUGCCCAAGUUGUGGCCAUUGGUGGCCUUGAACUUCUAGGCUCUUGCGGGCCUAGUCUUGCGCGCAUCGAAUUUGACAACUGAGAUUUUUUAUCACGUUGUCUCUUCGCUGAAAAGUGAGUAGAGUCUGAGCUUUCCUCACGGGGAGCUCGAGGCAUAGGCGUGCGUGGCUCAUGAGGUCUUACGUUGCAUGCUCCUGGGAUGGCUCCUGUUGUCCCAGGAUAUAUUGACUCCGGUUCUUGUUGAGGCCUUGAGUUUGCUACUUGGCCCCUCGAACGCUGACGUUGAGGAGGCCCUGAUGUUGAAGCCUGGAUGCGUAACACCGCGUUUUCUUCUCUCAAUCUUUCUGUCUCCUGGAGGAGAGCUUUCAGCUGUCUUUCGCUUGCCAACUGUCUUCUUUCGAUGGCUAGACGCCAUUCAAAAUUAUCCUCCUUUCCCCUACCAGAUGAACGGCUUUGGGAAGGUGUUGCCAUCUUUUUUGGUGACUGAAUCAAAGUAAAAAUUUCCCACAGACGGCGCCAAUGUUGAUGCCUUGCGUCUUUGAUGAUCCACGUAGUUGCCAGAUGGGUAGACGCGUGAUUUCAACUUAUACAGGUUCUUGAUCCAGUCGUUAUACUUGCAAGAAGGCAUCCGGACAGGGUGUCCGGACGCACCCUCCGAUGGUUUUGUUAGCCAUGGUCAGAGAGAGGAAUAUAAAUCAGUUGGCCUUUUACCAGAUAUUAGGAGGUUACCAGGGGAUCCCUUUCUUCUUCGUGCGAAGGCAUAUAUAUACAGCUUCAGGGGUACUGUUCCUCUCAUUAAUGUCGAGGAGAUAUUUUAUGUUUGUCAUGAUGACAUUCGGAGGCAGCAUGGUCAUCGUCACCCUACUGGUGGCUGUCAGAAACCGUGGUAGGUGAUGGUGCUGUCUAGAUAUCGUGGGAAGUGAUCAUGUAGAAUGAUCGUGGGAAGUGACUUGUUGUCACCUCGACCCGUCCUUUCACUCUGCAGAUGAUGGGACGUGGGCCAUGGCUGGUUGUCGUGAUAGCGUGUAAGACUCGUUUUACUUUAAUUGAUGAUCCGGACGAUUAUGUCCGGGUGGCACAUGCUAAUUGCCCGGAUGUAUUGUGGAGCGGAAGCAUUAUGAAGGUUGUCCGGAUGUCUGUGUUUUGCCAGCGACGUUUGCUCUUCCUUGGAUAGGAGAAGUUGAAACGUCAUUUGCCUUUCCUUGAGGCGGUCCGGAUAGGAGAACCAUCGUCAUGCGUAUCCUUAGGGGAAUCCGGAUGAUAAUGGUCAGGCUGAUAACAUGUGCCACGUGUCACUGUGAGGUGCGUGCCACAUGUUUCCCAGAGGGAGGGGUCCCUACAACGUGGAGGUUGCAUGCACAUGAGAAAUAAUGAAAAUGGACUUGUGGGUGAUGAAAGGUGGGGGUGGCAAGUUGGGUAAGUGUGAAAGAAAUUGAAAGUGGGAAUGUGGUGACGGGUUUGGUGGAUGGGUUUGAUGGAUAUGUGGGAUGGAAAGAUGAAUAUGGUCAUGCGCAUAAAACUCCAUGUAUGUGGGAAAAUAGAAAAUAAACAAAUGGGGAAUGAAUGGAAUAGGUGGUGGAAGGUGGUGAAAGGUAGUGAGUUUAAUAUGUAUUGGAAGACAACAAGAGGUGGUGAGCAUGAAUGGUGAUGGGUAUGGUGGGUAUGAAGGGUAGCAGGUUUUGCAAAGGUUUGGUGGGGCCAUGCAUGGCCAUGCAAAAGUGGGGGAGAUGGUAAGGGAUAACCAUGCUGGAGCGAAGCCUAGAGUGCUACUGUUUUAGAAGGCUCCACAAAAUUUUCUCUGGGACUUGGUGAGAUAUCAACCUCCAUUUUCUCAGAUGUACCUCUACUCUCACUAUCACACUUAAUCUAUAGUAUUAUGCUGUGAAAGCAAGAGAGAAUAAAAAUGGAUCUGAAGCACUCUAAUCCUAUAGAUUGAUCUGUGAAACAGAGACGAGUGGAUUCAGACAUGAGAAUAGUGAACAAAGAGGCUGUCAUAUUCUAAACUUGAAGUAUAUCUCAAGAGUCUUGAAAUUACAUGUUGGAGCCAGCGUAGUUGGAGCAUAAACUUGCACUUAUAUCAAUUCAAAUAUUCUCCCAUCAAUAUCUGCUUGUCACUGUCAAUAAAUAUUUCCAUGAGCUUUCCACGUAGCUGUGAUGAUGCCAAUGACAUCAAAACCACGUAUUUGCGAACCGUUCUAUAGCCUCCUCCAAACAACAUGUCUUUUUCCAGUUGGAGGAUCAAUGCUAUAUAUAUAUAUAUAUAUAUAUAUAUAUAUAUAUAUAUAUAUAUAUAUAUAUAUAUAUAUAUAUAUAUAUAUAAAAAUGACUCACACUAAGAGCCAGCCCAAACAACUUUUUCCUUAGAAAACCCCAGAAACCAAUUUACAAAAUUGCAUGCUAGGUUGACUUAGGAAUGCAACAUAUUGAUUGCUUGGAAAUGAACUACUGGCAUAUGGAUUUUUACUGCAUUGCUGGCCUAUCCACUUGCAUAUGAGAAUAUUGGCUCGAAGUGAAUCUGAUGUUAGAAACAGGAACCCAUACAAAGACUGAUCAGCAUGUUGAAGAGCCAAUCCCAUCAAGCAGAGUGCCUGCCAUAAACCCAGUGUGUCAAGCAUUCUACUCCCAUAAUCCAGAACAAAAGAGCAUCGGUCACAAUGACAGUCACCAGAGAUUUGAGCAGAUCCAGGAGCCGUUCACAUGGGUCCUCCAUUUUCGUCAUCACAGCUUCCAAAAACCCUAGGAAAUUAGCGGUGCAAACCAACUCUGAAGGUAUGACAUUGGGUAUGGAGGAUAAACGGAAGUUGGAGGGCUUAGGGUCGGUGCCGAUGAAGCCCCGCCACUCUUGAGUUAAAACAAAGAUGAUGAGGACAUCAUCUCUCCUUGAAGUUAACAAAUGAUAGAAACCGAACAUGGGUUUGAUGUGGCUUCUUCCUGGGUAAGAGAUUGAGGCAACAUGGCAGGUAGGGAUGGUAGGAUCCGUUUGGACUUCUGAACUCAAAUGAGCGAAACGAGUUGUCGGAUGGGUGGUUAUGGCCUGAUAAUCAGUGAGAGGUGAAAAUCUCAUAGUGAACAGAGUUCGACUCCACUUCAUCUUAACCUUCAUCAUCUGUUCAAGUUAUCAAGCAUUACCACCCAAAUAAACCUUAACGGUCCUCAGUGUCAUUGAGCAGAAAUUCACUUCUUACCAUAUCCAUGACCUAUUUUUAUCAUUCCCACAACUUGACAAGCAUGUUGCAACUCUUCAUACCCACAAAUUGAGAAUACAUCUCCUGCAAUUCCCUACUCUCUCAGGCAGAGAUGAGAAAACUGAUGCACACCAUGGACGAGGUACCAGGAACAAGGAAGAUGGCAAAACAGAGCACAAAAGGUAGGAACAAAAUGAACCCAUACAAGCCUCGUUUCAUGUAUCAAUCAACGAGCUUAGAUGUAGGGGAUGGACCAAAAAAGGAUUUCAAAUGAGUUUCAAAGGGAAACCAAGACGUGACUGCAAAUACCUCAUAUGAAAUCUCAAAAUAGUGCUAAGAAAAUAGGUUAAAAAUGAAACAUAAAAUGCAUGUAAACAAACCCAUAUUCCAUAAAUAAAUAAAAAAUGCAAAAGUCUCCAAUAUUCACAUUCAGGCACCAAAAUGAAACCCCAUUAUACACAAAAGAAAACAUAAUAAAAUGGUAUGAGAAUGAAUGAAUCGACAUCUUAUAGACAUCAUACCUGUGUUGCCCCCUUCAAGGUGACUCCCCUAUGUGUUUCCUCCUCUUAAAACCAGUUCUCUCUUCCUGCAACUCUAUCUUCCUCUCUGGUAAUCUCUCUCAAGCUUCUCUCAUUCUCCCACUAUUUCCCUUCCCAACUGUCUCGUUUUUUAGCUCAAGUUGUCUUGCCCUUCAAGCAACAACCACAUUCAUCCUUAACCGUUUUAGAAUAUUCCCUUGGUAACUUGCCACUCUUUGGUUGUUUCAAGAAAACGUCUCUUCCAGCCCACUCCUUCAUACACAUGCUGUCAAAAUAACAAAAAAUGUGGUAAAAAAAAAAAGUGCUCCCCAAAAUAACCUUUACCUAUAGACCAAAAAUGCUAUUAUGUUGGGAUGGGAAACCCAAAGCACAACUGUCCAUUUUCAAAACCCAACAAUGGGAAAUAUGACAAUCAACUUUUAAUAUGAAAAUUUUUAUCAUUUUUGUGCACUCUGAACCGACUCCAUCUUCUGUGCCCAAAUUGCUCUUUCGUUUCUCCAGCUCAGGAUCCUCAUCAUCAUUCCAACCUCCAUAUCACACUCUCUCAUUUGGAAGCUUUCUCUUAUCUUUCUUCACUCCCAAAAACCCAAAAUCUCUCAUUUCAGUUCAGAAACCCAAAUCUAAAACUCUAAGACAAUGUCAAAAUGCACCUUUCGACUUGUCUAGGAGUCAUGAGAGUCCAAGAGAAUUUGAAAAAAAAAAAAAAAAAACAAAAUGGAGCUCAAGUGGUGAGAGUGGGUACCCAAAAACCGAAACCCUAACCUACAAAUGUGUUCUAGACUUGCAAAUUUGUGUCCAAGAUAGCUCUUUUAGCAAUAAAUAACAUCAAACAUCUCUUCUAGACCAUUAAAUCGGCAAAGCCCUUGAAGAAUCAGAGCAAAUGGUGCAGAAAAUGAAGCAGAUGAGACUCUUAAAGUAUUAGGUCCCAACGAACUGGUCGACCAGUUCUCGACCUGUGACUGCACCUUAGGUAUUACCUUAGUUAAACUUAGGUAUUACCUGUGUGAAGCCUCAAAACUUCAUUUAUGGAUAUUACUUCAUUUGUGACCUUUAGAGCAUGUCAUUUUGUAAUUAAUUAGUGUAAUUAGUUGGUUCAACUUUGGUAUUUUGGUGAUUGUACCUUAUGUACUACCUUAAUAGCUCUAAGGUACUACCUUAAUCGACCUUAGGUACUACCUAUUUGAAGUCUCAGAACUUUAUUUGUAGAUAUUACUUACUUCAUUUGUGACCCUUAGAGCAUGUCAUUCUGUGAUUAAUUAGUGUGGUCAAUGUGUUCAUCUUUGGUAUUUUGGUGACUGUACCUUAGGUACUACCUUAAUAGCCUUAAGGUACUACCUUAAUCUACCUUAAGUUCUACCUUAACCAACCUUAGGUACUACCUAAGUAAAACUUGGGUACUACCUAUCUGAAGUCUCGAAACUUUAUUAGUGGAUAUUACUUACUUCAUUUGUGACCCUUAGAACACAUCAUUAUGUGAUUAAUUAGUGUAGUCAAUUUGUUCAUCUUUGGUAUUUUGGUGAUUGUACCUUAGGUACUACCUUAAUUUCCUUAGGUACUACCUUAACCGACCUUAGGUACUACCUUAGUUAAGCUCAUUCAACUGUCUAGGAGCGGGUUGGUGUCUUUUUCAGUUUUAAACAUAAAACCAAUCGACCGGUUACUCCUUUCUAGUCGAGGUCCGAUCGAGAAUGAAGUAAGGAAUAUNNNNNNNNNNNNNNNNNNNNNNNNNNNNNNNNNNNNNNNNNNNNNNNNNNNNNNNNNNNNNNNNNNNNNNNNNNNNNNNNNNNNNNNNNNNNNNNNNNNNNNNNNNNNNNNNNNNNNNNNNNNNNNNNNNNNNNNNNNNNNNNNNNNNNNNNNNNNNNNNNNNNNNNNNNNNNNNNNNNNNNNNNNNNNNNNNNNNNNNNNNNNNNNNNNNNNNNNNNNNNNNNNNNNNNNNNNNNNNNNNNNNNNNNNNNNNNNNNNNNNNNNNNNNNNNNNNNNNNNNNNNNNNNNNNNNNNNNNNNNNNNNNNNNNNNNNNNNNNNNNNNNNNNNNNNNNNNNNNNNNNNNNNNNNNNNNNNNNNNNNNNNNNNNNNNNNNNNNNNNNNNNNNNNNNNNNNNNNNNNNNNNNNNNNNNNNNNNNNNNNNNNNNNNNNNNNNNNNNNNNNNNNNNNNNNNNNNNNNNNNNNNNNNNNNNNNNNNNNNNNNNNNNNNNNNNNNNNNNNNNNNNNNNNNNNNNNNNNNNNNNNNNNNNNNNNNNNNNNNNNNNNNNNNNNNNNNNNNNNNNNNNNNNNNNNNNNNNNNNNNNNNNNNNNNNNNNNNNNNNNNNNNNNNNNNNNNNNNNNNNNNNNNNNNNNNNNNNNNNNNNNNNNNNNNNNNNNNNNNNNNNNNNNNNNNNNNNNNNNNNNNNNNNNNNNNNNNNNNNNNNNNNNNNNNNNNNNNNNNNNNNNNNNNNNNNNNNNNNNNNNNNNNNNNNNNNNNNNNNNNNNNNNNNNNNNNNNNNNNNNNNNNNNNNNNNNNNNNNNNNNNNNNNNNNNNNNNNNNNNNNNNNNNNNNNNNNNNNNNNNNNNNNNNNNNNNNNNNNNNNNNNNNNNNNNNNNNNNNNNNNNNNNNNNNNNNNNNNNNNNNNNNNNNNNNNNNNNNNNNNNNNNNNNNNNNNNNNNNNNNNNNNNNNNNNNNNNNNNNNNNNNNNNNNNNNNNNNNNNNNNNNNNNNNNNNNNNNNNNNNNNNNNNNNNNNNNNNNNNNNNNNNNNNNNNNNNNNNNNNNNNNNNNNNNNNNNNNNNNNNNNNNNNNNNNNNNNNNNNNNNNNNNNNNNNNNNNNNNNNNNNNNNNNNNNNNNNNNNNNNNNNNNNNNNNNNNNNNNNNNNNNNNNNNNNNNNNNNNNNNNNNNNNNNNNNNNNNNNNNNNNNNNNNNNNNNNNNNNNNNNNNNNNNNNNNNNNNNNNNNNNNNNNNNNNNNNNNNNNNNNNNNNNNNNNNNNNNNNNNNNNNNNNNNNNNNNNNNNNNNNNNNNNNNNNNNNNNNNNNNNNNNNNNNNNNNNNNNNNNNNNNNNNNNNNNNNNNNNNNNNNNNNNNNNNNNNNNNNNNNNNNNNNNNNNNNNNNNNNNNNNNNNNNNNNNNNNNNNNNNNNNNNNNNNNNNNNNNNNNNNNNNNNNNNNNNNNNNNNNNNNNNNNNNNNNNNNNNNNNNNNNNNNNNNNNNNNNNNNNNNNNNNNNNNNNNNNNNNNNNNNNNNNNNNNNNNNNNNNNNNNNNNNNNNNNNNNNNNNNNNNNNNNNNNNNNNNNNNNNNNNNNNNNNNNNNNNNNNNNNNNNNNNNNNNNNNNNNNNNNNNNNNNNNNNNNNNNNNNNNNNNNNNNNNNNNNNNNNNNNNNNNNNNNNNNNNNNNNNNNNNNNNNNNNNNNNNNNNNNNNNNNNNNNNNNNNNNNNNNNNNNNNNNNNNNNNNNNNNNNNNNNNNNNNNNNNNNNNNNNNNNNNNNNNNNNNNNNNNNNNNNNNNNNNNNNNNNNNNNNNNNNNNNNNNNNNNNNNNNNNNNNNNNNNNNNNNNNNNNNNNNNNNNNNNNNNNNNNNNNNNNNNNNNNNNNNNNNNNNNNNNNNNNNNNNNNNNNNNNNNNNNNNNNNNNNNNNNNNNNNNNNNNNNNNNNNNNNNNNNNNNNNNNNNNNNNNNNNNNNNNNNNNNNNNNNNNNNNNNNNNNNNNNNNNNNNNNNNNNNNNNNNNNNNNNNNNNNNNNNNNNNNNNNNNNNNNNNNNNNNNNNNNNNNNNNNNNNNNNNNNNNNNNNNNNNNNNNNNNNNNNNNNNNNNNNNNNNNNNNNNNNNNNNNNNNNNNNNNNNNNNNNNNNNNNNNNNNNNNNNNNNNNNNNNNNNNNNNNNNNNNNNNNNNNNNNNNNNNNNNNNNNNNNNNNNNNNNNNNNNNNNNNNNNNNNNNNNNNNNNNNNNNNNNNNNNNNNNNNNNNNNNNNNNNNNNNNNNNNNNNNNNNNNNNNNNNNNNNNNNNNNNNNNNNNNNNNNNNNNNNNNNNNNNNNNNNNNNNNNNNNNNNNNNNNNNNNNNNNNNNNNNNNNNNNNNNNNNNNNNNNNNNNNNNNNNNNNNNNNNNNNNNNNNNNNNNNNNNNNNNNNNNNNNNNNNNNNNNNNNNNNNNNNNNNNNNNNNNNNNNNNNNNNNNNNNNNNNNNNNNNNNNNNNNNNNNNNNNNNNNNNNNNNNNNNNNNNNNNNNNNNNNNNNNNNNNNNNNNNNNNNNNNNNNNNNNNNNNNNNNNNNNNNNNNNNNNNNNNNNNNNNNNNNNNNNNNNNNNNNNNNNNNNNNNNNNNNNNNNNNNNNNNNNNNNNNNNNNNNNNNNNNNNNNNNNNNNNNNNNNNNNNNNNNNNNNNNNNNNNNNNNNNNNNNNNNNNNNNNNNNNNNNNNNNNNNNNACUAAUUAAUCACAUAACGACGUGUUGUAAGGGUCACAAAUGAAGUAAUAUCCACAAAUAAAGUUCCAAGACUUCAAAUAUGUAGUACCGAAGUUUUACUUAGGUAGUAUUUAAGGUCGGUUAAGGUAGUACCUAAGGUAGAUUAAGGUAGUACCUUAGGGCUAUUAAGGCAGUACUUAAGGUACAAUCACCAAAAUACCAAAGUUGAACCAACUAAUUACACUAAUUAAUUACAAAAUGACAUGCUCUAAAGGUCACAAAUGAAGUAAUAUCCAUAAAUGAAGUUUUGAGGCUUCACACAGGUAAUACCUAAGUUUAGCUAAGGUAGAACCUAAGGUCAGUUAAGAUAGUACCUAAGGUAGAUUAAGGUCGUACCUAAGGGCUAUUAAGAUAGUACCUAAGAUACGGUCACUAGUUGAGGUCUGGUCGAGGACUGGUCAAUUGGUUCGUCGGGACCCAAUACUUUAAGAGUCUCCUAUGCUUCAUUUUCUACACCAUUUCCUCUGAUUCUUCAAGGGUUUCGCUGAUUUAAUGAUCUAGGAGAGAUGUUUGAUGUUAUUUCUUGCUAAUAAAACUAUCUUGGACAUAGAUUUGCAAGUCUAGGACACAUUUGGAGGUUCAGGUUCUAGUUUUUGGGUAUCCACUCUCUCCACCUGAGCUCCAUUUCUUUUUUUUUUUUCGGAUUCUCUUGGACUCCCAUGGCUCCUAGACGAGCUGAAAUGCGUAUUUUGACAUCGUCUUGGAGUUUUGGAUUUGGGUUUUUGAAUUGAAAUGUGAGAUUUUGAGUUUUCAAGAGUGAAGAAAGAUGAGAGAAAACUUCCAAAUGAGAGAUGGUGAUAUAGAGGUUGGAAUGAUGUUGAGGACACUAAGGUGGAGAAACGGAGGGGCAAUUUGGGCACAGAAGAUGGAGUCGGCUUAGAGUGCACAAAAAUGAUAAAACUUUUCAUAUUAAAAGCUGAUUGUCAUAUUUCCCAUUGUUGGGUGUUGAAAAAUGCUAUUAUGUUGGGAUGGGAAGCCCAAAGCCCAACUUCUUAAGGAAAAAAGAAGAAGAAUUGAAAUAGAAGAAACCAAGAGGAAAUGGAAAAGAAAAAAAUGAGAUAUAGAUGGACAACUGGGUGAAUGAAUGUGUGGUCCUUAGGGUUUUUAUUAGAUGAACGGUGGGGAUUGAAGCAAAAAGGAAGGCCAAGAUUUAAUUCUCUAAUAAAAAUUUGAUUAAAAGUCAAAAGGAAUUUGCCUAAUAUACAUUAACCAAAAUUCCUAAAAUAAAUAAAAUAAAAAAGUGAAAAAAAAACAAAAUAAAUAAUAAUGAUAAUAAUAAUAAUAAUAAUAAUAAUAAUAAUAAUAAUAACAAUAAUAAUAAUAAUAAUAACAAUAAUAAUAAUAAUAAUAAAAUGAAAAGAGUUCACGACAAAUUUUAGGGUCUACAAAUUGAUUUUAGAAAGGUAUAGAAAAAAAUUACUUCUUGUAAGUUGACUUGUACAAAAAUCUAAGUAAUGUUUUAAGAAACUUUUGUAGGAAAAAAUGAUUCUUAUAAAGUUAAAGUUUUAAUUUGAAUUUACCUUAAAAACCAUUAUGAUUUUUAUACCAAAAUAGGGGAAAAAAAAUCUUAUGUAACUCAUUGUCAUUGGGUAAGUUAAUGCUCAAUUGUUAUCCAAAUAAUUGAAUAUAUGAGCAUUAAGUGUAUGUAAUAAAUAUACAAAUAAAAUGAAGUAAAUAGAAAAUUGGAACUCACAAAUAUGGUUGAUUGAACUUACCGUUUGACUCUAUGUCCUUAAGACAAAUAUAUCCCGCUUAGGUGCUUACAGUUUGUUGACAAUCGUUUUCUAGGAUAUAACGAUAACUUUUUCGUGAUAGUAGCACUUCAAAUCACAAGAAACAACGAAAUACUUGGUGCUUCGUACUCUCCUAUAUAUCAAAUAUUUGGCAAAAAAGAGAAAUAAUUAAACUUAAAACUAAAAAUGACUUGAAUGACAAGAAAUGAGAAAGAGUGGAGAGAAUGGAUACAUGAAUAAAAAUGUCAUGGAGGUCCCUAUUUAUAGAUUUGAUGGUGACCUUUAGAAGAGAUGUGUCUUUAAAAUACUAGACACAUCUUUUGAAGGAUUGUGUUUUAAGACACUAAACACAUCAUCUGAAAGAGGUUGUGUCUAUUAAGAGAUAACAUGUUUUUCAAGAAAAAAAAAUCAUAAUUUUCAUUCAUCUAUAUAAAUUUCAACAUAAACAAGGAAAGGGAUGAAGGAUUAAAGGCUAAAUUUUUUAUUGUCUUUGCAUUUCUCUAAUGCAAAAAUUCUUAUUUUUCAUUUGGGUUGAAGGAAGGUAUAAGAAAGUAAAAAUAUUGUUUUCUCACAAGUGCUUUUAGUCAAGAUCGAAGCUUUUUGAAAAAAAGUCUAAGCAUGUGCUAGUGAGCAAGAACAACUAUGGAAUGAGUUUUUUUUUCAGGUACUCACCCCUAAUGGAAUGAGUUUAGGAUUAAAAUAAAUGUGAUAAUAGUGGAUUUGAGUUUUUUUUUUUUUAACCUAGUGUGGUUCUAGUAUCGCUUUAUCAGUCCAAUUCAAAUUAUAUAUAAAAUUAAUUUUAAAAAUUAAUUUAAUUUAGACUUUUUAUUUCUCAAAUAAUAAGUUAUAAAAAAAUAUAAUAUUUUAAUUAUUCAUAAAAUAUUUUUAUUUUUCAAUGUAAUAAUUUUAUAAAAAAAAAAUCAUGUUUUCAAAAAAUAAAAAAUUUAAAAGGGACUAGGUAAAGCGAGUAUGUGAAAUUUGCAUUCCUGUUCAACCCAACUCGUUUAAUUUUCUUAUUAGGGUGGAGAUGAUAAUUAUUUUGAAUAAAUGAGAUAGGUUAGGAUGAUGAAUACCGGCAAGUCGGUACGUCAAAGCAUUGAAGGUAACCUUUCCAUACCCUUAUUUUUAUAAUUAAUAAUAUUUAAAAUGUAUAAAAAAUAAAAAUAAAUAAAAUAAAUGAAGAACCUAUGACAAGUAAAGACAUGAACAUUAUAUAAUUUUUUGCAAUUAAUAAUUAAAUAAUUUCAAAAAAUAAAAUAAAAUCAAUUAACUAAUUUUUUUUUUCUAUAUGAAAAAUCAAUUAUUUAAUUUCAUAUGAGAAAAACAAAAAAUAGAAAGAGAGAGGUCGGCGGGGAAUGUAUGAAGAAGAACAGGGGAAAAUGAAUUAGAGGUGGGGAGAACGGAGGGAAUAACCGAGGAGCACCAGUGGAGAUCUCUCCGGAGCCAAGUGAAAAUGUCGAAGCUACCUAGGCCGGAGUGAGCUGCCGCCGAUGGUGUUGAGAAGCCUGAGAUGCCGCCGUCGACAGUAAGGUCAGAGUUAGGGUUGCAUUUUUUUUUUCUCUCCUUUGAUUUCGCUCUCCACGAGCUGUUUUGGGUUACGAGACAUCAUUUUUUCUUUUAAAUUUAUUUAUUUAUUGGUCUAGCCAUCUCAAUCACAGAAACACCUAGAAGGCUUACGCCUCAAGCUCCGGCGCGUUGAAGGCGCAUUGGAAGCAUGCCUCGCCUUUAAUUGCUCUUUGAUUGUUUUGUGAUGUUUUUCCCAUUCCAGUUAUUUGCACUUUGAUUGUUUUAUGAACCUCUUGAUUUUAUUUUUUUGAGAGUUUAAUGGAUCAUGGGGACAACUGUACUCUGGCUGAGGUUAAUGCAUGAAUCCUUUGAAGAUAUCACUUUCUACGAUUUGUAUUUAUACCUAAUGUUUCUAUGUUCUUCUGCCUUUAGAAACAUGCAACACUGGGUAAUUUGCAAAUUUUAUUUUCUGUUUACAAAAGAGGAUCAAAUUUUCUUUUUUUUCCUUUUCUAUUCUCUUUAUGUUUGUUGACUACCAAACAAGCCCUAUGAGCGCCCAAAUUAAUUGAGUGUUAGGCAUAAAACCCGUCCACAUUAAUUUCUUGCAAGCACUUACUUCGGUCUUCUUCAAAAUAUAUAUAUAUAUAUAUAUAUAUAUAUAUAUAUAUAUUUUUGCUGCAGUUAUUGUCUCAUUCUUACUUUCUUUUCUUGGUUUCAGCUACCAUAUGGAAAGCUGGCAACAUGUCCAAGUGCACAUUUGUCGGAUUUUAGGGAUCCAGCUGAUAUUCCUUGUUGGUUUUGGUUUUUGCAUGAGUAGUUCUUUCGUUUCAUGUGAGGUUGGUUAAACACAAUUCUUGUAUUUGCAUUUUUUUUAAUUAUUUUUUAUGAUGAAUUUUUGUUGUCAAAGCUCUGGGCUUCUAUCCAACUAUUUAUCUGGUAUUGCAAAAGCUUCUGCCAACCAUCUAUGUCUAGAAUUUUGUACAUUCUUUGAGUUGGUCUAUGCUUUCACUGCACAUCUGAUAUUUUUACCCACUAUGCGUGUUCGAUUGAUAUGAAUUGAACUUGAUUAAUAGUCUGUCAAUCUUAGGAAAUUUUAUUUUCUUUUGAACUGUUAGAAAGCUUACUGAAACCAUACCAGAACCCAUUUUUUAAAUUCUUGUAUUAUUUUAAGAAAUUAUGGCUGAAGUAUGGAUGAGGUUAAAUUCUCUAGAAUUCAUGCUAGGAUUACCACUUUCUAAUAUUCACUAUGUGGUCAUGAACUGUUUUGAUAUACAUCAAACUUUUGGUUUUGUUAGUUGUAGUUUCAUGAGAGCAUGGAACAUCUUCUUAGUUCAUUGCAGCAUAAGAAUUUCAGUUUGCAGGCUUCUUGCCCCACUCUUAACUGCAAAUCUUUGAGCAAUCCAAAACCCAUUAGUUUGUUUGUUUUAGAGGUAAUAGAAAGUCCUUUCUUCUGUGCAAGGUCUACUUCUUUUAAUCCCUUCAGAUUGAAUACAUAUUGGCUUUAGUAUGAUGGACCAUAUUUUUGUCAUAAAACCUUGACCUUUCCCGUAUACAAUGUGAUAAGCAUUUUCAAGGGCAUAACAUACAUCUAGCAUCUUCACCCUAUUUAACGAAGCAAAGGUAACCAAUACCUUGUUCCCUCUUUGAAAUCAUGCAAGUUUGUAAAAAUUAAGAUGCUUUUUAAUGGAAAAUUUCAGACUUUCAACAACCUUCUUUGGAACUAGAUUUUUAUCACUAUUACUAUCAAGAAUGAUAGUUGUCUGAUUAUCAUUACCUGUGAUACUUAUUAGUCUCUUCCUUUAAUGCUAAGAAUAGGGCAACAAUGGGGGAGUUUCCUUGUGAUCUUGGGAUCCCAUAGAACUAUUUUUUCUUUUCACUUUCUCCUAUCUUUGAGGAAAAAAAGCAUCUUGCAUUAUGUAGAAGUCCCAUUUCACAAAAUUUUUGCCUCAAUUAGCGCCUUUUGUUUGAUAAACUUGUUGACUAUCCUCUAUCCUCAUUUCUUAAUUUUCAGGUGGGCGGGUGUACCUCAAAUGUUGGCUCCACCAACCAAAGUUUAAACAUCCCACCUUAUUUUGAGAAACAUAUUACAAAAUCAUAUUUUGAUAAAUAUGAUAGCUUGCUUGAUUCAGAUUUCCUAGAUUUCAUAUCACAUGAACUUUUUCCUGGCUCUUGUGAACUGCUACUGGAUAAUCUGAAUCUUGUGCUGAGACUGUCAGUUCAACAACGCUCUCUGAUUGGUGAUGGUUCUCAUCGUCACCUUUCUUCAUCCUUCAGAUUUAAUAUCCAGUCGGAGUUAAUAGCUGAGUUACCAAUACACUUCUGUGAGGCCAUAAUCAUUGAAAAACUACCCUAUGGAAUCUUUGCUGACCCAUUUGAGCUACAACAUCUUCUUCAGCGUGGAGGUAAAAUACUUUCUGUAUCAUUCAAGCAACACAUCCAAGCACUCUUCUCCCUUUCCAAGAUUUUUGAGUCAAACCACAUGUGCAGUAUUUAUGGGUGCAGCUGUUUUUGGAGACACAAAUUUGGAAUUGCCAUCCGUUCAUUCCAACCGGUCCCUUGUUGAGGUUCACAUGGAUGUCGAUCUCAACACUUUUUCAAGACACAAGGAUGGUUUGGAAAUCAACAUAGAUCUUCCACUGCAUAUACGUUAUCCAGUAAGUGAAAAGGAGAUCACAGAAAGUGAAAAUAAAAAUAGACAGUAGUUUUUUUUUUCCCUGAAAUUUGAUUAAUAUUCUGCAAGACAUCUGCCAAGCAUUUAAAGAGUUUAGCACUUACUAUUUUUGCAUCUUUAAUUAUCUGAAUUACAUGGAUCUGGGUAUAUGUGUCAAGUGCUGGAUCAAUUUUAUUCCCAAAUAUCAAAAACAUGAGCUGCACUUUAAUUAACAAUUCUUGAUUCCCAUAUCUGAGUGACAUGAGGCAUGUUUCUCAUUUAAUUAACAAUUCUUCUUUUCCUAAACUCAUUUCUUAGGUCAUCUGAAUGAAAAUUGAAUUGAUAUGGACCUUGUCCCCAUUGAUGAUUCUAUGUGGUUAGCCUUUAGGGUUGUUACAGAAACUUAUUUUGGAAAUUGACAACCCAAAUAUAAUAUUAGAGAGAAUGGAUGGCAAUGGUAGAGUUAGACAGGUCAUGCCCCUGCUCUCAUCCCCAACCUCCUAACUUUUCAGGUAUUUAUAUAAUCCAUGUAAAUAAUUGUAACCAGAAGUGAACUUAAUGAAGUAGCCUCUAUAGAAUUUUCACUAAUACCGUGUGGGCCCUGCCUUCCAUCAGUCUAAUUUACACCCCUGCUCAGGACUCACAUCAAUUUUGCUAAUUUGUUUGACCCUGUGAAAUUUUCAAAAUUUAUUCAAACCCUGUCUUAUUGUAAGAAAACUGCUAGUUUGUCCCAUGAACACUACUAAUUGCUGGAGAACCUCUGAAUUAAAUAUUACAAACUGAAUGAUAAUAAGUUAUUCCAUUUCUUUAUGGCUUGAAACAAAUUAAGAAAAAUCACGACCUUUAGGUUUAGAGAUCACUUGAGCGAUCUAAAGCUAUAAGUUACAUAAAGUAACUUUAUUUAAAAUAAAAAUAGCUUCAAUUAUAAAACAAAAAUUCUGCAAAACAACUUGAUAACAUUAUAUUUGUAAUUCCUUCUUAAUUUCUCUUUGUACUCUUACAUUCCUGUUUCCCAAAAAAAUUCCUAGUCUGCAAUUGAAUAUAGGGGUCCAUGGAAAGGGUUAUUUAUCAUUGUUGAGGCAAUCUCUAAUUGGCAUUUUCCCAGUGAUACAGUUAGGAUACUCUUUAUCUUAUUGAUAAUCCUUGAAUUGCUUGUAUGCUUCCUCCUUCUAGUUCCACCUUUCGUAGUCUUCCCACUCAUUUUUGGCUUACCUAAACAUCUUUCUCUGCUUUGCUUGUCCUAUGUAUCUUUCCAAUUCAGAUUCUUAUAUGUACAUUUUGUCAUCCGCCUAGCUAGUCUAAAAAAUAUGAGAAAGAAAAAGAAAUGAUUAGUAAAGAUGCAAACUCAUAUAACAAAUGAAGUUUGUCAGGUGGUUUUGUCUGGACCUUAUUUUACAGUCUAUUGUGUAUAGGGAAUGUGGAUAGUUGUUUUUAUGACGUCCUAACAGUUACAAGGCAAUCUUGGAAGGCACUAUCUAAUAUCUCUCUUGUGCUGCAGCCCUUGGAAGAGAGUGGCUAUUCAAAUAUUGAACUAGGUGCACCAGACUUAUUCAUGCGCUGCAGCAUUGAAGCAAAGUCACAUAAUCAGAGCUGUUUAUUGAUGUUAAAAGAUAAUGGUGUUGCACUAGGGAAUGGCCCUGUAGUGUGGAGGGUACCUUCUGGAAUUAAGGCUCAUGCCAGAGCAGUGUCUAUUGUUACUUUCAUUUCAGCCAUAUUGUCGACUCUUUCAAUUGUGCUGACAUCUGUGUAUUAUUCAAGUACCAAAUUGUGCAAAAACCUAAAACAAUCUUAAUUCAUUAAACCUUUUCUGGGCCCUGAUAACUUUGCAUGUACUUUGAAAACACUGCUCUAAUGGAAGAAAAUGUCCUGUGGGUGAAAUUAUUUUAUUUUCCUCCUAUCAUCUGCUUUCUUUGCAUUUAAUAGCUGUAUUUUCAUAACAUUAGGCCUUGAAAGUGAGGAUGGGAUUCCUAAUGCUACAAAGAUUAUUCAUCCAUAGAUUGCACAAGUCUCCCAAAUUGAAAAUAGCUUAAUCUCUGAGCUUGUUAGAAUUGUUAUUAGAAGAUAUGGAAUCAAGGGGUUGACAGUAAAACACCCAAGAGUUUGAAAAUGACUUGACACUUGAAAGACUACAAGGAAAUUAAGAUAUAGUCACAAAUGGCUGCUCUUUUGGCUGUUGAUGAUCCCUCAGUCAUGAGAUUAUCAGUCAUAGUGGUGCUCUUCCUCAAUCAUGUAAGCUAGCCCCCCAAUUCUUUCUGCCCUCAUGAAAUCAAGGUACUCUCAUUCUCUGCACUAGACAGCAUUUUUCUCUUUGCAUUCAUUCUUAUAUUUAAUUUGACUUUGGUGGAUUGCAAGGAUUUGUUAGUAUUGAUAUCUGAUAAUUAUUUCCGCAGGUUUAGAGGUGGAGACUUGAAUGGUUUCUGAGAGUUUCAAGAUGAUAAGUGUUUCUUUUUUUAAGUAUUUUUAGUGAAAAUAUUUUCUCUAAAUAACAAAUAGAAAUUAUGUUAAGAAAUACUAACAAAUAGUAAUGAAGAUGUUUUAUAAUAUAAGUAUGUUAGGGAAUAUAACAUGAUCGUACAAAAUUAUGAGUUUCAUAAAAGAAGUUCAAAAUUUUCUCUAGGUUUUGUUGUAUUGUAAUGUUAGUAUCUUUAUUAUAUAAAUAUAAUAUAUUUUGGUUAUACUUGUAUUUUAUGACAAAGUAAUAACAUUAGAGAUACUUUUUAUACCUCAUCGACAUCGAACAGGUAUUAAUAUCAUCCACUUUAUGUAUUAAAAAUAAAAAUAUAUAUAAAAAUUAAGAUAAAACAUUGUACAAAAGAAAAAAUGGGAAAAAAAAAUAUAAAAUUAUACGAUUUUUUAAAAUUAUUUAAUUAUAAAGAGCUAAAGAUGAUUAAGCAUUUUAUAUCAUUUUCUAAUUUCAAACAAAAAAUUAGAUAUUUGUUCUUCCUCAAACUCUAUAAAAAAACAUGAUGUAUCAAUUUAAAAUUAGAAAAUGUAAAUGAAAAAAAUCAUCAUUCUUCUUACAUAAUUAUGAAACCUGUAUUUUUUUUUUAUUUUUUUUAAAUAAAAAUAAAAAUGUUCAAGAAAACACAUUAGACGUUUUGUUUUAGCUUAAAAAUUAGAUCUUGAUUACAGCUAAUGUAAGGGCCACGUGAUUUAAAAGGCUUGAAAAUAUAUAUAUAUAUAUAUAUAUACACGCUUUGAGGUGGAAUUUUGGCUUAUUAUUUUGCUAAACGAUCUUUCAGGGAAUUUUCCUUCCCUUCUUGUCUUGUUCUUCACAAUAAAUGGGGUAAACUGGCUAAUGGUAUUUUUUAAAAACAUUUCACAAAAUUUAAUGUAUGAAUAAAUAAAGUGUUGAAAAGGUUUCGAUACGAGCCUUGGGAAGUUCGAUGGAAAGAAAGGUGGCAUGAAGGUGUCAACUUGAUCCCGCCAAUAUGUUUCCGUUGCAGCAAGUGUAGGACGGUGAUGCUUCUAUAAAUGGACAAAGCCAUGGGUCUUCUUAAUGAUAUCAUUGUUUCCAAUUUUCGACCCCCACCUCUAAAAUAACAUAAAAAAUUAAAGCUACUUGGGUUCCUUUUUUAUUGUCAAAUAAAAUGAUUUACCACAUUUCUUUAAGAGGAUUCUUAACUAUCAGGAGAACAUCCAAAUAGUUAUAAUAAUAAAUAUAAAUAAAAAUCUAUUGUUCCAAGUAAUUCACCCAAUCCAUUUCUAUUAGAUGCCUAUUUCCAGACACUAACCCUACUGGCAUCAUCUAGAACAAUGAAUCCGCAUACCUCAUACCCCAAGGGAACAUAUUCAAAUGGUAGCAAUGAAACACAAAGAAUUAUAAUUUUUUAUUAAUAAAAAUAAAAGAAACAUUACACAACCAGACCCAUAUACCCUCAAAACAGCAACUUACAGUAAGAUGAGAACAGAUAUCAACCACAACUCACAACCACCCCCCUCCUCAAAUAAAAACAACUGAAUUAUAACCAGAUACCAACACUAUAUACUCCCUUGAAAUUGAAGCCAAGUUUCAGUCCCUCAUCAUGCAUGUCUCGUAAAACAUCAAAACCAAAGAAAUUAACAAAGAGACCACACCUUGUUGCCAAGCAGAUUACAGGUCUGCUCUAUGAUUGGACUCUAAGAAUUUUCUGAUUAAGCUGCAAUUACGAUGAUCACAAUGAGGAGGAUGAUCCCAAAUAUCACCAACAGCAAGCAGGUCUGCAAGAAAAGGAAAUGAUAUGUCAGAAUUCAUUUUUUUAGUGGAAAUAUAAAGGUUGGAGAUGAUAGAUGAAGAUGACAGUUAUCUGUCAAACAUGAUUCUCUUAAUUGAUGAACAUAAGCCAACUGAAUCAUUGCAUGUUGACCUAAAAGAGUAGGCACCAGUCUUUCUGAGAGAUCAAAUUCACCCCAUUAAUCAUCCACCUUGUAUUUCUUAAUAUAUUCACGUGGUUUUCAAUUUUUAGCACGAGUCUAUUACAGGACCAUUUAACUGGUCCUACCACAGAAAUGACCUGCAGUUAAAAAGUGCCUCCUGUUGUGAAGUUAUGCUUUUUAAGAAAAAGAAUUAAAGAGUUCAAGAUUACCAGAGAUGAAUUUGAUCGUUGGGUCUUUGAUGCUUUUGCAAGUUGGGAUUUUGCCUGUGCUGUUGCAGCCUGGGCACCAUCAAUGUUGGAGCCAAUAUCAUCUGAAAAGAGAAAUUGAAAUGAGAGUCAGCAGCCUGAAUCAGAAAGGGAAUAGCGAACUCUAGACAAGAGAGUCAGAUGAGUUACCAAUCAUAACUCCUUGCUCAUGGACCAGCACAGCAAGAUCUUUGAAAAUCUCAUUCACCUCGCCAAUUUGGUGCUGGAUUUCUUGUAUUCCCUGCUCCCUUUCUUCAAUGAUAGCCUCAUUGAAGACAAUCUCAUUGUCCAACAACAAGACCUCCUGUCUGCAGCACAAAUCAUCUAAUAGUUUAGGGGAGAGAGCAUAUUAGAAGAACCUAUUCUUAAUGCCUAGAAAUGAUAUAAUGUAGGGCAUGUGCCCAGUUUUGUUCAAAUGGAUAAGAUGCAAGGCAGGCCCUAGUCAAGGGUAGGCCCAUUCACCCCUGUUCUACAAUGAAAUCAAAACCAUCAAAUUGAGGUUUUGUUCAGAAUUUUGACACUCUCCAUUAGUAAACACAAAGUAAAUGUAUCUUCAGAAAAGGGAGGGUAGUGGUCCCACUUUUGAGUUUCAUUCUAAUUCUAGCCGUUUUGAGGUGUCCGCCAGUUUUCGCCUUUUUCCCUAUGGAGUUUUUAAGAAUUUGAUUAAAUUUUGGAAAAUUAUCUAAUCUAUAGCUCCACAUACUGUCUGGCACUAGAGACAAAAUGCAGGCCAAAAGAAUGAAACCUAAUAUAAUGGAGAUCCUUCCUAUUAACAUGAGACCCAGCAAGAUUUUCCUGAUCAUAUUGUAAAAUUAAGAUCACUUUUUGAUGGGGUUAUAGACCAAGGAGAGAGGAUUGCCAGUUGAUGGCAAAGUCUUUGAUAUAUGGGCUUCUUGUUUAGCCCUUAGUUUUUUAGUUUCACAUCACUGAUUCUAAUUGUAAGAUGUCUUAUAGAAGAAGGGAGACCAUGUUAUUAUCCAAUUGGGAGCUUACACAUCAUCAACUUUAACAUGCAUGUCUCAAUAGAAGCCUCACCAUAUAGAUAGCAAGCACGGACCUAUAUAUGAGAUAACAAAUGGUUUUUUCUGUUUUUUUUUUUUUUUUGAUCAGAAGAGAUAACAAAUGGUUUUUGGCAAUUAAAAAAUCCAUGCUGACAGAUCUGGAAUAAAAACCUUGCUGGUCAGAAAAAUAAUGAAAAAAAAUUUAACCAGAAGUUCUUAACACCCUUAUUGGUGUAUGAAGUAGUUGUAGUAUGCAGUCCAUUCCUAAAAAUAUUUCCUGAUAUAUCCUAAUAAACUUUUGUAAACAACAGUCGCUUUAAAAAAAAAAAAUUAAGAACACCAAAAAAAGAAAAGGGUACCAAUCCAUGAGUGGAGUAAACAUCACAGAACAAUAUGAAUUCACCUUCUAGAUUCCACAAGAAGAGCACGUUGUUCAGGACUCUUAUCUGGACCUACAUCUAUCUCACUUGCCGUAUAGCUGCAGAUCAAACCAAUAAUAUGAGCAUAAGACAGAAAUGCAAGUUUGAAAUUGUAGAGAAGUAUAAUGCACUCAGAACCACUAAAAUGAUAUCACUGCAUUGAAAGAAUCAGGCAGAUUUUGUAAGACUCAACAUUUGGUGAUUAAAAUUGACAGCUAAUAUGUUGUGCACAAAAACUAACUACAAAUAAGACUUACAAUAAUUACCUGGAAGGAAGAACUGACUGGGGAACAAAAGGAGUAUAUGCCGUUUCCCUUUCUGCUGCCAGCCGUUGAGCCUUCUGAAACUCUUUUAAAACUGCUUGAAAAUCUUUUGCCAGUUUAGCAUCUGCAAUCUUCUUGCUGGCCUGCAGUUAGAUGGAGAAUGUUCAAGGCAAUUACACCCCUCAAAAAAGAUCACAGCACUGGAAGCAUCCUCUUCUGUUUCCUUUUUCUAACAUAUCCAAAAGUUGAAAAUAUUUGCUCCAGAAAACUUCAGCAGAAACUCUUAUUAAAAAAUGGUUUAUGCAAAAAAAUCUCCAUAGAUCAUGUUGUUUUUGAAACUAAAGUCGGUACCAUAGAUGCCUCUUGGAUGGAAUUGAUAAGUUUGCCACAAUUGCUGAGUACAAAUAAAUAGUAAGAAAGGGAGAGAGAAAUUCUUGCAAAAUCAAUAGUAUCGUAUCAUGAAAGCAAACUUACACUAACUUCAGCAUGAUGAUCUGUUUCGCUAGCUUGCUUAAGUUUAGCAGAGGUAUCCUUGACUAACUGCCCAAUAUGUAGCCUCGUCUUGUGCCUGCCAGAUCAGCAGAACUAAUAUGAGAAUCACAAGAGGUAAAAAAAAAAAAAAAAAUUAUCAUGAAAUCUUCUUGUUGAAAUUGUUCAAAAAGAAAUGCAAAUAAAAGGUAAUAAAGUACAUAUUUACAAGAGCACUAAACUGACCCCAGCCUCUCCUAAUUGCCCUACACUACCCCAUCUGAAUGCCCCUCUUGCCUCCUCAAUAACCCAAUUCCUGAUUUCUACCAGACACUUAAUAAGCAUGACUCUCUUCAGGCUACUAUCCUUGUCAACAAACUUCUGUUAGCAUUUUCCCAAGAAUGCUUUAUCUAUCUCCAUAUUCCUGGCUCCCAGCCCAACCCUUGCUUUUGGCCCACAAAGCACCUUUAAGCUUCCUACAUAAGCCUUCCUCUCUCUCCCAAGCCCACCCCAAAUGAAUCCCUUUGCAGCUUCACAAUCUUCCUUGAAACUAACCUAAAGCACACAAAGUAAACAUGGAAUAUUUAAGAGUACUAGCUGUAACUCAGAAUUUAGGUGAUUCCAACUCCUUUAGACAGAUAUCACAUUUACAAAUAGAUAAGACAUUUUUCCAGUCUCUCCACAAUCAGAUCCCAAAUUGAUUUCGCUUUAAAGAAAGCUCCCAAUGGAAGACCUAAUCACAUUGAUGGCACUAAGCCCAACUUACAGUAGAACUCAGAAGCCAACCCAUCAACAUCCUCCUCUUCCCUACCCACAGGAAAUAACUCAUUUUUCUCCAUGUUAACCCUCAAACCUGACAAUGAUUCAGAACAAAUACGGAUACAAUAACAAAUGUCAAUUGACUUGCCUCAGCACAUGGAAUAUGAAAAACAAAUCCUCCCUAAGGCCCUUCAAACCCACCCUAAACCAUCAAUAUCCCACUAAAACCCUCCCAUCACAAUCAUGAAAGUAGGCAAUGGAUCACCUUGACUAAUCCUCUUGAUCUAUGAAACAACCUAGUCAACACCCCUUAACAAUUAUUACUAACUCUGCCCACCCAUUUAUUCCCAAAACACAUCCUCCCAUAUACACAACAAAGAAGCUCCCAAAUGUUACAUGGUCACAAGCUUCUCAAGAUAAGAUUUGCAAACCACCCAAUUAUGUCUGAUAGACUGAUUUGCAAUGAAACCACAAAAAGGAUCUGGUGGCCACUACAAAAGCAUCCCAUACUUCAACCAAAAAUCACUAUAGUGAAAGGCACACUCAAGUGCUAAAAAAUGCACAAGGACAGGAGGCACUUGGCACUGGAUCAGGCUAUGCUUCUAAUCAAGUACCACAUGCGGCCAAGGCACACAUUAGGUGUGGCUUCUUUAAUCUUCUGCUUUUGUUAGAGAUAAAAUUCAUGAUAGUUGUGUGUCAUAGAAAGCCAUAGAUGGUUCUCAUUUAAAAGAAAUUCACAUGAUUUGAGCCUUUGAAUGUGCCACCCAUGAUGGCUAUAAGUAGAUUGCAAAAAUCAUAGGUUUCUCUCAUUCAAAAGGAACUCAUGGUUCCCUAUAGAGAAAAUGACUGUUCUUUGUCUUGGGUCUCUCUACUUUCGAUCGCUCUCUUUUGUGUCAAGUCUUCUUUAAAAAAUAAAUAAAUAAAUAAAUAUUUCCGUAUCAUCUCACUCUUUUAUCACUAUUUUUAUUUCUCUUUCUUGAAGAAGAAGACAAAGAAACCCAAUGGGCAGAACUCUCUCUCAAUCAAAGAAGUUAGGGGCUGGAAAAGUAAACAAUACAAACCCCAACUAUUUUAUCCUUUCUCAUCAACACAACAGACACACUCUCUCUGUGUGACAAGCAAACAAUCUCUCCCUAUCUUUGACACUGUUAGGCUGCCAGCAUGGGUAUCAUUUAGGAGUUUCAUGAGGUACACUUAGGCACCUUUUUUUCUGCAUUGAUUUUUCCCAAAUUGCUUGCUGAAAUUACUUAUAGGACCCUUCCUAAUAAUUACUUUGCAUAGAAAUCAAAGCUUCACAUAUUUGUUAUUAAUUAUGAUUGGAAGUUUUUUCUAUGCUUGGAACUAGGAAUUUCAGAUCUAUUUGGUGUAAUAGUAUUGCUAUGUGGAUGACCAUUUAUACAUUGUGUAUUAUAAUGGUUGAGCCCAAAUAUUGAACAGUGAUACAAGAAAAAUGUCAUCAUAUUUAGUCAUUUUUUUAUGGGUACAAAUUUACAAACUUGAUACGGUCUAUCAAAGAGAAAAAAUUUACAAAUUUUAGAUAAAUUGCAUGUUAAACUCUAUAUCUUGCAUUGAUCAAUUGGGUUGUAUCUAUGCUACAGAAAACCUUCACACAUUUUACAACUAGUCUUCCAAAACUUAUUUCUAUCAUUAGACCAUCACCCAAACGCCAAAGGCCCUAAAUUAUUCAUUGUCCAGAAAUUCUAGCAACUUUUUUUCCCCCCUAAAAGCCUAACCUCUAUUAACCUCCAAAAAUUAGCCUUAAACCUUAAUAAUUGGCUUCCAUCUUCAAGAACUACAGAAUGCCAGAAUCAAAAGCUCAUCCUAGACCUUGACCCACCAAUAGAGAUUGAGUGCGGUGUCCCGCAUCAAGAAGUUAUGAAUAAGAAUUAUGUCUCUGUUUUUGUUAAGGUCUUCCGCUUACAUACAAAACGAACUAGAGCACACCAGAAAGAGAGUGUAAUGUCACGGACUUAGUCGUUUCCUAAGCUUGUGCGACACUUAGACAAGUCAAGACAUUUGAUCUUGCUAAGUCAGCCUUACUCCCAACGCUUAGCUUGCUAAGCUAAGAUGCUCAAGACUCAUAAGCUUGAGAAGGCGUAGUAGGCGACUCUUAAAGAAUGGAAGCUUUAUUGCUUUCAAAGGAAGUUUUACAAUGCUUGGAAGCUCACUUGCUUGGUUAGGAAGUGAUUUGGGUGGUGUCUUGGCCAAAUGAGGGUCUCACCUAUUUAUAGGCACCAAUGGAACUUUCUGGAACCUUAGAGGGUUCCUUACAAAUCAAAAAUAUUCUAAAACUCCCUACACUAAUCUAUGUACAACCUUAUGUACAAGAAUAUACAAGAAAUCUCUAGAAUUCUCUAAAAAGCCCUGGACUCCUCUCAUGCCUUCCACCAUAGUGUAGAGAUGUGUGGACUUCUCUAGACAUCUCUAGAACCUUCCAUACUCUUCCCACUAAUGGCUUAGUGUAAAUGGCUCCAGGAGUCUCCAAAAGCUUCCUGGGCUCUAUAUAAGCCCAUGGGGAGGGUCAUUUGAAGCAUCCUGUGACAUUAAGCUCACCUUUCUAGUGGAUCAUCCAGGCAUUCAAAAGUAAAAAGCAUAAAAUACAAAACUACAAAAGGGAAAGGGCAAGUUGUGCAGUUUUCAAAGAGGGUGUGAUGUUACCUAUAUGGGUUAGCACAUGCCAAGAAAUUUACUGAUCCAUCCUAGCAUUGGUUGAUUUUUCCCAGUUAAACAUGCAUGGAUAUUUGCUUUUAAGUUAGGAAAAGGAGGACCAAUCAAGGGCCAGGUCGGUUUUGUGCUCAUACAUUAGGUAAACCAACCCAACCAGACAACCAAUUUCAUAACUAGGAAUACGAAACAAACACACAAAAUAAAUAAAACAGACACACAUGAAUAUAUGAUAGUUAAACCAUUUUUAUUUUUUUAAUUUUAGAUGGGUGACCAUUCAACUAUAUUUUUAUGUCAUUAACCUAAUUUAUAAGAUGGAUUCCCAUAGAGACUUUGUCUCUCCUUUAACUUGUCACACACUGGAUAAUUUUGAAUGAAAAAGAAAAAGGAAAAAUAGCACUUACAACUCCCUAUCAGCACUAACUGAGCCUCAUCUGGAUGGGUUUGAUUCAGUCCUACAUAAGCAUCCUUUUCUAAGAUAAGAAACUUAAAACCUGACAAGUUGAUAUAAACCUGCUAAGGCGAGUUAUACAUAUACUAUACCAAAAAACCAUAAAAUUCAUUAAUCUUAUAUAUCUAAUCUCCAAAAUCCUAAUAAAUUCAGAGAAGCAUUGCUCAAGCUGGAAGAUGUUCAUCCAUGAGAUUCUAAACUUUUAAUAAGUUGCUUUGAGUCUCUUACAACAAUCACUAAGGAUAAUUUCUCAUCAAUUCAUCAAACCCAAGCCCUGAACUUAACAUAGAUUCAGGCCUACUAUUACCACUUGACCUAUGUGACCCUAUAAAAACUCCAACCGAAAAAAAUUGCUAUUAAGCAAGAUAUUAGAAUUGUUCAUUUUGUAUCUUUAUUAGUUAAUUUGGUGUUCUUAAUUACUGAUUUUUUUUUUUUUUUUUUUUCUGAUAAGCAACAGAAAGUGGAUUGUCAAGUCUUCCUAUCUUUUUUAUGUCUUUGUUCUUAAUCCCUAAAAAGGUGAGUCUAAGAUUGAAGCAGACCCAGAGGAACUUCCUUUUGGGGUUGGGCUGGAUCAGUGAAAAAGCUUCCUCUGGUUAAUUGGUCCAUAGUUUUCUGAAAUAAAAAGAAUGGGGGCCUUGGUAUUAGGAAUCUCUCUUCUCUUAACAAGGUGCUCCUUGGCAAAUGGUGCAGGAGAUUUGCAUAUGAAAGUGAGUCCCUUUGGAAAAAUGUUACUGCACAAAAAUUUGGGGAAGAAGAAGAGGGAUGGUGCACAAAGACAGUGAGGGAUGAUCAUGGGUUGGCUGUGUGGAAGGCUAUUAGAAAUGGGUGAAUCCUUUGUUAGUAGAACACACUUCAUUCUUGGUAAUAGAAGAAGGGUCAAAUUUUGGAAAGAUAGAUGAUGUGGUGACUCAUCUUUGGAAGUGUCCUUUCCAUCUCUAUACUCUCUAGCCUGUGAUAAAGACUUGAGUACUAGAGGUGUGGGAACAAGGAGGAGAGGGGGGUUGGUAGAGGCCCUGCUUCUUGAGGCAUUUUCAUGAUUGGGAAAUUGAAGGAGUAAUGACUUUUCUGCAGACCCAACAGAAGAGCUCGAUUAGGAGUGAGGAAGAGGACAAAUUGAUGUGGAAAGAGUUCAAGAGUGUUGUGUUUUCAGUGAAAUCUUUCUACCAUAUUUUUGUUCCAGAAAGGAGUGAGCGUUUCCUCUCAAGUAAUGUUUGGAACUCAUGGAUGCCUGUAAAAAUGAGUUUCUUUGCAUGGGAAGCAACUUGGGAGAGGAUUUUACAAUUGGUCAGCUUAACAGGAGCAGAUGGGCAAUGGCUAAUUGUUGCCUUGCGUGCAAAAAUGAGGAAGAAUUGAUUGAUCAUCUACUUCUCCAUUGCCCUAAAGCUAGUAUCCAUGGCAUUUGGUUUUCCCAUUUUUUGGUGUGGCUUGGGUGAUGUGGUCCAUAGAAAGAGAUAAUCUUUUGAGUUGACACGACUCUUUCAUGGGGAAAAAAGGGAAAAAAAUUUGGAGGGCCGCUCCUUUGUUGUGGAAGGAAAUAAGCAGGAGGUUGUUGAAGAUUUGCAACAGUCUAAUCAGAAAAUCAAAGCCUGUUUCGUGAAUACUUUUUAGGAAUAAAUUAGAGUGUCCAUAGAUGAUCAUUCCUUGUCCAUGAUUGACUUUGUUGAUUGGUUUAGCUUAAUCUAAGGAGAGGGAGGUUCAUUUUUGUGUUUCCUUUCCUUCUUCAGGAUGUCUUAUGUGGAUGUUAUAUGUAUACACUAUACACGGUGUAUACAUUGAUACACCUUUACUUAGGCAUUUCUAAUAUUAUUUCACUUUUUGCCUAUAAAAAAAAUAGAGUAAGCAGGAGAAAAUAUAUAAAUGAAAAAAGCCAUAUACCAAAAUACACAGGUUGUGCAUCACAAAAGGCGUAGCCAUAACAAGGGAAAAUACAAAAAACUGCUCCAUUCCUCAACUAGACCCCACCCAAUCUACAAAAUUGAAUUAAGUGUAUACUAGUGUGCCUAAUGUUUUAUGCUCAAUGGUCCCUUUCCAAGUGGAACCAAUAGAUUUGACUAAUAAAAUCAUGUAAGAAGCUCCUUUUCAUAGUAAUCCCCAUUAUCCAAGGGAGUGUUUUUUAAGACAUUGUGGACCCAGUGCUAUACCCCUUUUUGCUACCAAAUCAUAGAUCAUCCUGAGAAGAUGAAAGCAAAUGAGCUGACAAUAUUCAUAUCCCAUCCUCCAUUCCUCCUCAUAGACAGGUGCAACCUCUGUUGAAUUUGCAAUACUCUAGUAAAAUAUAUGUACCAAAGCCAAUCCUUCCUCUAGAUUAUUGUUUUGGUCAUAGUUUUAAAAGGUGCAAGGCCUACUUAGGGUGCAAAAGUCUCCUAGAGCUGAGGUGCAAGACGCAACACAAGGCACAUGCCUGAGUGAAAUGAAACCAAACCUAUGACACAUAUCGAUUUUAUCAAAUAUGAACUAAAAACUAAUUCAAUCAAUAAAAAAUUUAAGAAUCUAAACUCUUAAAGGAAUCUUUUAACAAAAAUAUAUAUAUAAAUUUCAAUAUACAAUUAGAAAUUUUAAAAAUAAAAAUGUUUAAAAAGGAAAAUUAAAGUAGAAGAGGCAUGCCUCUUCAACAAGGCACAUGUCUUGGCAAGCAAAGCCGUUAGGGAGUGGUUGCACCUUGGACCUCAGCACGCUUUAAGCGUGCCUUUUAAAACUAUGGUUUUGGUCAUCUUUACCUUUAAAUGAUGUAUGCAAACUUGGUAAAACAAAAAAUUUGAUGGACUGUUCAAAUUUAAGUAAGCUGAAUUUGAUUUAUUAACAUAGGGAAAUUUUUAAGGUCACUCUUGAACAGUUACCUAACAAACAAAGAACCAUUUUCCUUUCAGAUCGUAAUUGUUGGUCGUCUCCUUUCAACUGAGGAAAUUCCAACUCCCCUUCAGUGAUGAUGACUUCAGAAAGCUUAGGGGAAAACGAAUUUUAAUUAUAUUUUUAAGAUAAUAACUUGUAGCACUUAGUUCUCAACAAAACACACUGAACCAACUAUUCAUCCAACCUACGGAAAACCCCUUUUCACACCUGACACACUAGCCAUACCUUUAUUAAGCCCUAAUCUCAAUUUCCUCGAGCCCCAUUUCUCCUAUCCUAUCCUACAAAACUGGUAACAUUGUCGUUAACAGAAUCAAUGUUUCUAAACUGACUCUGAAUUUUUUUAUGUUUUUUUCUAACAUAUUUCUAAUGGGUAUUAUUGAUGGAGCAUUAGCUUCAUAGAAAAAAAUUAAUAAAUAUCAGCAUUUCAAACACAUAGAAAUCAGAAGUGAGAGUGGCGGCCGCAGUGCAAACUCAAUUCAUACCAUAAGAUAUGAGACGACUUAAAGUUCAAACAGACUCUCCUCUUCAGAAAAUACACGUCUUAAUGCUUGGUCAGUUAACAAAUAUAUUCCAGCGAUUAACAAAAGAAUUCAGAAAUGUUAAUAAAAAAUCAGCUAUUGAAGCACCGAAAUGCAGCCAUUAAGAAACCGCAUUAAAGCCGAUUAACCAAAACCAAAUUAAACCAAUUCAAUCGAACCAAGCCAAGCCUCACAACACUCACAACUUCUCCCGUAGCUCUGACGUGUCCUUGGGGGUUCCAAGCGUAUUAACGAGUCGCUGAAAAGUUGAAACCGCGGUAUUGAUCUGGAAAAUGCCAGAAGCAACGGCCUGCGUCGGAUCUUGCUUAGCAUUGAUGUAAUCUCGCCGGGACUGAGCCAAAGGGCGCCCAGAUUCGAGAUCCUGAAAGCUCAUAUCUGCGCGCGCCCUAGAAUUUUUCUCGGGAAAAUUGGAGAGGAUUUUCCGGCAAACCCUAGAAAAAUUGGACUAACGAGGGCAGAUAUCGAGGGCAGAAAAAGAGAAUUAGAGAGGAUAUCGACAGUAUGAAAAUGAAAUCACAAUUAUUUUUUGUAAACCUUCGGCCUGACCUAUAUAUAAUCACGUGAUUAUAUAAAUAUGUAUAUAAUCGGUUAACUUGCUGCCGGCACGUUGGCUGUCUACAGCGAAAUGACACGUAGCGGAAUACACAAUCGAAAGACAUGGUUG
rnacentral:lncRNA from 1 species